GGUAGCUUAAUCGCAAUGCUGGAAUUAUGCCACACUGCUCUUCUGGUAAGUUCCAUAUCUCACUCUCAUAUAUUCUUUCCCAUUUUCCAUGAUAUUCAACCGUGCGAAGCAAGCUUCCAAUGGCUUUUGCAGCCAAAGGUAAGCCAUUGCACCUUCUAACAAUUUUCUCUCCAAUUUCUUUAAACUGGAGAUGUCCAUCGAAAUUUCUUGCUUUUAAUGCAUGCUGUGUAAAUAUGGAUAAACAAUCAUUAUCCGAUAGUUUAUCCAAAUAAAAAGCUUUGAGCGGAUCCACAAUAGAUGAAACAAUUUGAAGACGAGUGGUUACAAUGAUAUGGGUCCCUGCUCCAAACGGAGACCGUAAGAUGGUCCAAUCAUUAUAAUUCUCGUUCCAAAUGUCAUCUAAAACAAGCAAGAAUCUUUUCCCAGACAACUUCUCCUUCAACUUAACUUGAAGUAAAUUCAAGUCAUUCUCGUCACGAGAGUCAGGAUCGAUGGAUUUUAAAAUUGUCCUGGUUAUAUUAACUGCGUCAAAAUGAUCAGAAACGCAUACCCAGGCCUUGUGGUGAAAAGACUGGUUGAUGGUGGCAUCAUUGUAAACAAGCUGAGCAAGAGUUGUUUUACCCAUCCCUCCCAUGCCGACGAUGGAAAGGACUGAAACUCCGUUGGAGAUAUCACCUUUGAGAAACUCAAUCAUUUCUGUCUUCUCCUUGUGUCUGCCAACAUACUCCACAACUCCAUCCAGUACGGAAGUUGGUUGCAGCCUAGGCUGGUUUCCCUUGGAGGUUGGAGCUUGAGACAAGAUCUCACUCAACCCCAAACUAAUUCUUCGAGUAGUCAAACUAUUCAGUCUAGCAGUGAUCUCUUUCACCUUGGGAAUCAUGGAAUCCUUAAACAGGAAAGACGUGGGAGCGAAACUAGUACCAGUAAAGCAGGUAGGAAUGAGUUUCCGUACCUUGCUAGUGCUGGCUUGAGCUUGCGAUUUGUUGAGCUUGAGACGUAACUCUUCAUAAGCGAACUCAUCCAAGAUGUCAUCCACAUCGUAAGCCAAGUCCUGGAGAUCCUCCAACCAUUUCUUCACACCCGUGUUCUUGAUCUGCUUCUCCUCUGCAUCGUCCAACACUGCUUGGAUAUCAGGCAAUAUGGACUGCCACUGCUUGAGCUGUGGGCGGAGUUGGUUAUGAUGAGCAACAAAGUUGAGCGCAGAGUCGAGCAACUUGCCCCCCAACAGCUCCAGAAACACAGACAGAGCAGCCUCUCCAAUGACAGACAUGGUGAAAUUAUGAGAAGGAAGCAGAAGAGAGAAAUGAACAAAGCCAAAAUGGAAAGUCAGGGAACAAAAAAAGAAAGAAAGGGAAAUGGAAUCUGCAAAAUUAGAGAAAGUGGAAGAAGUUGGCACUAUUUUUUAAGCAUCCAAUAAUUCAGACUAUGAGUUGGGAAGGCACUGGGAUGUGAAAAAGGAUCCCAAGUGGUAGUUGAUAGGGAAAAGACAACGAAAGUGGAAAUUAAAGAGGUCCCAGUCCAUGAAAUUAUUGCACUCUCUUAUUUCUUAUCUCCCUGCAAUUAUUUGAAUAGCUUUUCUUUAAUUUUUCAUCUAUUUUAAUCAUUGAAUUUAUAUUUAUUUUUAUUAAAUCACUUCAAAAUAAAUAAAAAAACUUAAAAGAGUAUACAAUCUUAGCAAAGUUAAAAACAUUAAAAUUUUUAUUUAUUUUGAAGUAAAGUGAAUUAAAGUGUUUGCAACUCUAAAAUGGAUAGGACACUUAUGGCUUCGUGCACUAUUUGUUAGAAUGCAUGAAACACAAAUCUUAAGAUUAAAUUAAAUUCUAAAAAAAUAUUAAUACAAAUAAAAAUAGUAAAAUUUAGGAUGAAAAUAUUGAUGUGACAUUAAAUUAUUAAAAAUAGAUACAAAUGUCAUGGUAUUCCAAUUUUAUACUAUCAUUCCUCCAAAAUAAUUAUCUUUUUACAUCAUGUUUUUAUAAUAUAUGAUGUGACUUAAUGUUCCAUUUUUGGGAAACACUUUUAUAUUAAUUAAUUAUGAGAAAACCAUUUUUUAUGGAGAACUGUGUUUAUAUUAUAGAAAAGUAUGUUUGAGAAUAGGCUUAAUUUUGAUAAAUUCUUUAAUGAGAUGUGAUUAAUUUUAGAUUUAUUAUUUGAUUUCUGAUUCGGUGUAAAAAUAAACUUAAAAAGUGAAAAAGAGUCGGAAAUACGAGUUACCGUAAAAGUUUUGGAUUGAAGAACUAGUAGGACCAUGAUCUAUGUUUUGAGAACUUUAUAUUGGGAAUUCAUUUGUAAAAAAUAACAGUACUUUUAUUUUUUUAUUAGGAUAAUAUUUUAAUAUUUUAGUAUUUUUUAGAUGAGUUUAAGUAGGAUGAGGCAUUUUGAGUUUUAAUAUAUUUUUUUAAUGUAUAUUAUACCUUUUGGUUUUGGGCAGAAAUCGAUUGCAAAUGGAAUUUCUUUUCUUCUAUAUUUCUAAUUAUGUUCUUUCUUUUCCCAUUUUUCCCCUUCUUUUGUUGGUUUAUUUCUUUUAUUUAAUUCUUGUUGAACUCUUUAUUAGGAGUGUUUAAAUUCCGGGUAAAACUAAAUUAGUUCGGUUAAUCGAUUGAAUUCGAUUAAUCGGACGAUUAAUCAAAUUAAUUCAGUCAAGAGUCAGUUAAUAAUUUUUUUAAAAAUUCAGUUAAUGAUUAAUAAUUAAUAAUGAACUGAACAAAGUCAAAAUGGAAACCCAGGGACCAAAAUAGAAAGAAAGAGAGAUGGAUUCUGUGUAAUUAGCGAAAGUUGAAGAAGUUGGCACAAAGGUUUUUUUUUAGCAUCCAAUAAUUCAGGCCAUCACUUGGAAGACAUUGGAUUAUGAUGAAGAUGGACCCCAAGUGGUUGUUGAUGGGAAAAGACAAUGAAAGUGGAAAUUAAAGAGGUCCCAGUCCAUGAAAUUAUUGCACCCUCCCAUUUUUUCCGUCCCCGCAGUUAUUUGUAUAGCUUUUCUUUUGGGCAUAAGAAAUAAUUUUAACUCUUAAAUUUUUCUUACUAUCAAACCACUCUAAAAUAGGCCCGACAUACAUGUGAAUUAUCAUCUAGAAGACACAUUAACAUCUAAUUAAUUUUGAAUUUUUUUAAAAAAAUUAUUUUUUAACAAUAAAUUUUAAUUUUUAAAAAUAGUUUUUAUAGUUUUUUUAUUUUUAAAAUUUAAAAAAAUUAAUUAAGUGAAUGUUAGUAAAGUUAAAAAAACUUACAAAUUUAAGGGCUAAAAAAUAAAAAUUUAAAUAGAGAACUAAAAUAAUUUUUUUUAAAGUUGAAAAGUCAAAUAAACUAUUAUGUCUUUCUUUUAUUGGACCAAAAUGAAUUGAAGUGUCUGCAAUUCUGAAAUGGAUGGACUUAGUAUUUGGAUGCAUUAUUAUUUUUACUGGAGAUUUGGGAAUAGAUGGACUUUCUAUGGGCCCAUUUAACUAAUAGGUUUUAUUAUCACUUUAGCAAUUUUGGCGAUUUAGUCAGUUAAUCGAGAUUCGCAAUUAUUUUAUUUAUUGAUGCUAGCAAUGUACAGUGGUUAAAUAGGAACAUUUCUUCUUAAGACCUUUUAUUUUUUUUCAUCAUGUGGGAGUUUGAAUUAAUUCUCAUUUAUCUACUUCUAUCCAUGAUGGGGAAGAAACGUCUAUACUCGGCUACAAAAUUUAUUUUGUACACUGCAGGCGGUUCCAUUUUUCUAUUAAUAGGAGUUUUGCAUGCCGGUUUAUACGGUUCUAAUGAACCAACACUAAAUUUUGAAAUAUUAAAUAAUCAAUCAUAUCCUAUCGCAUUGGAAAUAAUAUUCUAUAUUGAAUUUCUUAUUACUUUUACUGUCAAAUCGUUGAUUAUACUCUUGCAUACAUGGUACUAUAUAAAAAAUUUCAAUAAAUAAAAAAUGAAUAAAAUUAUUAAAUAUUAAAAUAAUAUAAUAUAAAUAUUUAAAAAAAUUAAAAAUAAUAUGGACAGGGCUAAAAUGGGUUUGGAUUAAUAUUUUGUAAAUAUAGGCGGGCUUGAGCAACAUUUUAGGACCAAAUUUUGGGCUGGGUUGGGCUUGGAUAAACAUAAAGUAUAUUAAUAUCAUAUUUAGACCCAAUCAGCCCAUGAAUAUAUCUAGUAACAUGAACCUUUGUUUUUGAAUUUUGUCAUAGCUUUUGUCCAUUGUCCCUAUUUCCAAGUAAAAUGAACGUUGAGCUCCAUGCCAAUGGCAUCAAAAUAAUUAUUUCCAUUAACAUCAAAAAUUUCCAUGUCAUGCCUAUCUAUAUCGUGUUGUACAUGUAUUGUGUGUGAGCUUUUUUUUUCGGCCUGUUUUUGAAGAAUCGUGUUGGUGCUUCCUAGUAUUUUAAGGGCCCAUUCUUUUUCCCGUUUGAGAUGGACUUUUUCACUAAAAAGCCCUUUUCUCUUAAAAGGAACCAAGAACAACCUCCGUUUCUCUUACAAUUUCUCCAUCAGAGGCUAUUUUAUCAAAAUAGUCUAAAAAAAAUAUUAUAUUUACAAAAAUAAUCCAGGUUUAAAAACAAUCAAUAAAAUAACUUAAAAGGAACAAUAAAAUUGGGUUGUGGCCUGUCAAUGACCGGAACCCACUCGUAUUUUACACCUAUGAUUGCCUAAUAAUUGUGUCAAACUUAAAAAAAUUAAUUUUUUGGGUUUUGGCCUGUCAAUAGUCGAAACUCAUGUAUUUUUUUUUAAAUUGUAUAAUACUGAAAGGGGAGAGAGCUUCUGAAAGUUUUUUUUGUUGUUUUUUUUAAAAUGGGUUCAAAUGAAUUUUUUUUUGGAGAAAUGAGGGUAUUUAUAGGGCACCAAAACGGCAUUGUUUUGGAAAGCCCCAGACGCACAACACGGUGUCGUUUUGAGUACCCGACCUGACUCCGACCAGAUCCACUUUAGGAUCCGCGUGUUUUUUGAGCGGAGGGGCAAAUUACGCUUUUAGCCCCUCCGCCUUUUUAUAUAUUUUCAAUUAAGUACUCUUAUUUUUUUUAUUUGGCCUUUAAUUUAUUUUAAAUUCCAAUCAGAUCCAUUUGAACGGCGCCAUUUUAGAGGAGAAGGGAAAAUUUCCCUUCCAGCCCCUCUAUGUAAUUCGCGCGUUCAAAUUAGUCCUUUUACUUUUAUUUAUUUACGAAUUUACCCCAGAUUUUUAAAUUGCGAUUCAAUUUAGUUUUUUUAUGUUCUUUUUAUUUAUUUUAUUAAUUAAUAGUGUAAUCAUCAUUUUUAUUCUCAUUUUUUUAUCUAUAUAUAUAUUUCUUUUAUAAGUACACACAUAUAUAUAUAUAUAUUUUAACAAAUAUUUUCCUAUAUUUUUUUAAUGAAUAUUUUCAUAUUUAUAUGUAUAUAUUUACGUUUUUUCAAAUGGUUAAAUACUCACUUUUUUUCUUUUUUUUUGAGAAAUAUACUUAUUUUUUAUUAUUUUAUAUAUGUACGCAUAAUUAUAUUUUUCCUUUAUUUUCAUAAGUAUAUUAUGUAUUGUAUUUAUAUAUAAAAUUCUAUAACCCAAUUUUUUUUUUGUAAAUUAUAUGUAUAUUUUAAUCUUCAUAAUUUCCAUUUGUACGUCUUUUGGUUUUUAUUUAUUUGUUUGCUUUCCCAUUCAUUGUAUAAUUGUGUUUACAUUUAAUAUUUUGCAUGUCAUGGAUUACCCUUUUUUUAUUUCGUUUAUUCAUUUGCUUAUUUUUUUAUGUCAUUGAUGUAUUUAUUAUUGUUGUUAUUAUUAUUAUAGCAUUUGUACGUACAAAAUAACGUUACAUCAUUUUUACUCAAAUUUAAAGAUAAAAAUUUUUAAAAUUGAGAUAAUGUUCGUAUUUAGGAUUUUCAAGGAAAUUGAGCCCUAACGUAUUGGGUUCCGAUUUUCUUCGUUAAAUCUAACAAUCGAGCAUUUCUCUUCAAAUAAAAAAAUAAAAGCUCAUUAUUGGAAAUUCAACACGUUGUGUCCUAACGUAUUGGAUGUGACGCAUUGAUUUCUCGAAAUGAAGAUUUAAAAAAAAACAAUAAAGGAAAUAUUCCGAGUUUGAGAUUUUAAAGGAAUUGUGCCCUAACGUAUUGGGCCGCGAUUUCUUAAAUCUUGGAUAAAUGGAUAUUCUUUUAAUUAUUUUCAUUAUACGAGUAUUCUGGCCUAAUUCAUUUUGGAGGAAAUUAGAAUGUUGUGCCCUAAUGCAUUGGGUGUGGCAUUUUUGCUUCUUUGAAUUGAGAAGGGUCUUAAUACGUGACGUUUUAAGUUUUUUAAAGAUUAUAUUUUUCAAAUUUGCGACCUUAAGAUACUAAUUAAUUAAUUAGGUACCAAUUUUGGCGUACGAGGGUGCUAACCCUUCCUCGUACGUAACCGACUCCCGAACCCGCUUUUCUAAAAUUCGUAGACCAAAAUCGUUUUUUUAGGUGACCCAAUCACACCUUAAUAAAAUAUUGGUGGCGACUCCCAAUUUUCAUUUUUUAAAAGUCGAUAACUAAAAAUUUUGUUUUUCAAAAAAACGGUUUCGACAGGCUGGACCUCCUUUUUUUCUUUUUUCUUUUUUUCAAUCAUAUUUUAACAUUUUACAAAGAUUUCUUUAAUGGCUUGGAUUAUAUGAAAUUUAUUUAUAAAGAGAUGAGUUUUUUUUAAUGCGAAGCAACCAUGGUCAUCUGUUCCGCACCAUGGUUUCAGUCGUACCGAUCGGUGCCACCAUUUUAGUGCUAUAGUGCAUCCAGCAACACCCUCUUCCGUAUUAGUCUGUACCAUUCGCAUUGGUUUGUUUCGGUCAAUUUCAACCACACUGACUGGGACAUGGUGCACCAGCUGCUAUAUGAAUAAUAUUAAAAAAUAUAAAACUUUUAACUAUUUUCUAUUAGACUAAUAACUUACUUCGAAUGUAUUGACCAAUAAAAAAAUAUUACACUAAAAAAGUAAAGUUUAACAUUUAAAUUUUGUUAUGGAAUAUAUUUUUACAUUAAAAAAAUAAAAAUAAAAAUAUAACAAAAAAACUCACUCACUUUAUUAUCAUAGAAAAAUCUUCGCUCAUCCUUCAACUUCUUUUAUUGAAAAAAUCCCUUCUUUUUUCUUAUUUUUUUUUAAUUUAUUGAAUGAUGAGUUUUUUAUUUGUAGAGUUUAUUAAUCAAUAUUUUAUAUAAUUGAUGAAUAUUUUACAUUUGAAAUUUAUUCAGAAUCAUUUAUUUAGUAUUUGUAUAUUUAUUUAUAUAGAUAUAAAAUAUCAAUAAAUUCGAAACCAUAUAUUAAAAUAGACUAAUACCAGAAUGUACCAAUUCCAGUAGAAAAGUGGUAUAUCUACCAGUGUGGUGUUGACUACCUUUGAAAGGAAAUGAGUAAAAGCAUGUUGAGAUAUUAUUUUGAGUGGCUGUAAUAUUUGAUGCUUUGUUUUCUUUUGAGUAUUUUGGUUUGAUGCUUUUGAUUUGUGUUGAUAUUUGAGUGUAAUCAUUGAGAUAUAUAUGGCUAUCUCAUUUUUUUUAUGAUUUUUUUUGUAUUUACUGUAGUUUUUUUAUUAAUAAAAUUAUGUUUUGGAUUCAUAAAAAAAUUUAAGAAAUUCAAAACACAAAAACGAAAGUAGAGAAAAUGAACACAAUGAUUUACGUGGUUCGGAAUAUUUCCUACAUCCACGGGUAGAACCAAAAAUAAAAUUCACUACUAAAAAAUGGAGAUUACAAUAGAAUUACAUAAUAAAAUAACUCACCACAAUAACUAUCCACAAACUUUGAGCAAUCUUCUAAAUAAGCAUCAACUAUACACUUUCUACAAACUGAAAAAUACCUGGCAAUAAUAAAUAACAAGUGGCCAACAAUCUCAAAAUGUCAAAAACAAUACUUUAUUUAAAACAUCCUAACCUCUUAUCAAUCAUCAAUGGAGACCUAAGAUAGGUUGAUGAUUUGCGUAGAUAGAAAUAGAUGAUGCUAAAAGCAUUAAAAAAAAAAAAAACUUACCACUCCAUUCCUUUUGUCAACAUCUGUCGACCACCGACGUUGUGCUGUCGUUGUGCCCAUAAGCAGGUAUUGCCCUCUUUGGAUGCCCACCAUUCCAGGGUUUAUCACCCAAAGGUACGUACACCUCCCCAGUGGUACCAUUUGGCCUUUUAUCUGCCACCAAUUUCAUGGUUCCCAAAGCUGAAUGAAAGUAUAAGGCUAAAUAAGUAGCAUAUUUGGCUCCUCAACUACAACUUUGUACCAAGCACCAAAAUAUGAUCCAACACAGGAAAGGAAUGUCAGAAGAACAAAUUCUCCAUAUAACCUAUACUUGCCCUAUCACAAACAUUGAUAACAUCACAGUUGAAGCCUUUCGAAGCAGGGGAAAUUCAUAUAAAGAUUGGUAGAAAAUAUGCCAAUCUACCAGACCGGAAAGCUGAAAAGCCACAUUAAAAGAGAGCUGCAAUGAAACUAGUUCCAAACUGCUGCAGUAUAUAUAUCAUUUGAUUCAUUUAACUCAUAUCUCAAAGUCAAAAGCAAGAGAGUCGAUAUAUAGUGAGUCACUUAGUCGCUGCUAUUUUUGGGAACACUCGGGCUGGAAGUGAAAACCCCAAAUUGCAGCUCAGUGAACUCUGUUGUGUUUAUGUUAAAUUGAGCUCUCUAAUGCCUUGUUGUAACGUGUACUGUAUCCCUCCAUUCAUCCUGCAAGGAUCAAUACCAUGUCUACAGUGAUGACGAAAUCUGUUGGCACUGAUAUCCUUAUGCAAUAACAGAAAUCUAUCCACAAAGAUCAACAAACUAUCACGUAAAAGGCUUGUUCUUCUGAAACACCAUUGGUUAAUAGUACAACGAAAUCUCAAAUACUUUUAACUAAAAUCCCAUUCCCAUAUACCAAUCUCAUAGCAACUGCUUAGAAAUUAGAAGAUGCAGAUGAAAACAGAACAUUCAAUUUGCAGAAUAAAUGUUGCAGAGAAUUGACUAACCGCUUUACUAAAUCAAAUAAGCUGAAGCAGACCGGUUGAAGGUCUUCUCUAUUUUUCGCCAAUUUAGCCUUCAAUGCCUGCAAAAAGUAACUACAAAAUAUAUAACACCGAUUUCUAUUAUCGUGCUGUUCAUGAGGACAAUCAGAUAUAUAUAAAGAAAAGGUAUGAAAUUGAUAAAUGUUUAAAAUGCGUUUCACACCUGUGGUUUGAGUGUGGAGAAAUCGAUGCCCGAUUUUACUGUUUAAAUUUCAAUUAAAUCGGGAUGACUGUUUUCAUAUCAAUUUCAACAUAAGGUAUGUGGGCAAUCUUGGACCACUCUCGUCCUUUACCCCUACUGCACCCUCUUUCUAGCAACGGGCAAUGCAGAAUAGAUAGACGCUCAAGCGAGAGAAGCAUAUCUUUUUCCGGAAGAGAUGUGAGCUUAGGACAAUCAUUGAUUCGCAAUUUUUGAAGAGAGGUCAGGUAUUGAAAGCCCUUGGAGCACAUGAAUUCCAAAUUCUCAAAAUUUUCAAUGGAAAUUGAUUGGAGAGAAGGAGGCAGCGUCAUUCCUAUCCCUUCUUCUGGAAACGACACCACAUUUGAGCAUCCUUCACCAUUGAUUUUGAGUUUCUGAAGAGAGGUGAGUCUGUAAAAUCCCCAUUCAAGUAGUGAUGUAUAAAUUUUGGGUGCGUUUGAGAUUUCAAGUGAUGUGAGGUUGGUAGGGAAACCCUCUUCUGGAAAGAAUAUGUCAGCCGAACACUCCCUCACCUUUAAUUCUCGAAGGGAGGUGAAGUUGUUGAUGCACUUGGGAAGGAUGAGCUUGUUACCAGAUUUGGACACAAAUUUAAUCGAAUCUUUUGAAGAUGGCUGAGCUUGUCUAAUCCCCGCGGUAAUGAUUCAAUUUUUUCAGCACCACGAAUGCCAAUGCUUUCGAGAUCAAUGGUUUCAAGGAAGGCUUGGGUUAUGCAUUCCAACACUGGACAAUCCCAAAUAAAUAGCUUUUUAAGCAUUACGGGUAACUUGGCGUUUGAAAAUAACCUACUUAGCUUUGAACAAUCCCUAAUAUCGAGAUGUUGAAGCCGAUUGCAUAUAUCGCCCCUUGAUGAUAACCAUAUUAGAGAUGGACAGCAUUUUAUUUCCAAGCGCUCAAGAAGACAAGUGUUGCUACUCAUACUCUUAUUAUUAUUUUCUUUUUCAUCAACCAAAUAUUGCAAACCCGAGCAAUUCCAAAUCCACAGCUCUUUUAAAGCAGGAGGAAAGUUACUCUCUGCAAAACAAACCAAGCCUGGACAGUUUUCAAGUACUAUGAUUGUAAUCAAUGGGAAGGCAUGUAAGGCUUCUGGUAGUCUAUUGAGCCUUUCACAAUCCCUUAUGGUCAGAUAUUCAACCCCUGGAAUCUUGUCAAGUUGCAAUCUCUCCUCCUCUGUUUCCAAAGAGACCAAUUGCGGACAAUUCCAAAUCGUGAUGAAACGAUGCCCGACUAAUCUUAAGCCAAUUUGCGAUAAAGAUCCCAACUCCUUCCAACCAAAGAUGUAGAAUGCUUCGGAGUUUGCAAAUCUCAACAUUAUCCUCUCUGCUGAAAUAUUAAAUUUUGAAAUAUUUGAAACAGACACAACUUUGAAGGAGGUAACCUUCUGUACAGACAAAGAACCUUCAUCCACCAAUUCUUCACACCCUUCAACCCUUAAUACACACAGCAAGGGAAAACUUGAAAUUGAAACUACCAGUCUCUGACACUCAUAGAUAUCAAGUGUCUGCAAGGAUUGAAGGAUGGUUGGCAACCUUCCCAGCAAUAGAGGACAUUUUCGGAUUGAAAGAAAAUGAAGGCUAGGGAAUUUCGAUACUUGCUCAUCAUCUUCACAUAGGUCCCACUCCUCCCAAUUCAGCAUAUUGUCAAAACACAGAGACUCUAAUGAUGCAAAAGCAUUUGAUUGAUUUUCUCCAAACAACUCAGCACCAAUCUUGUGUACUUGAUCCAAACCACUAAUUGAAAGAUCUUUUAACAACAACCACCUUCCAAUGGAAGGUAGAGAUUUGCAAUUUUUACACUUGCGAAGCUCCAAUGACAACAUAUUUUUGAAGGAAGGAUCUGCAAUCCAAGUAGAGAAUUUUGCACCACCAUAAUUCUCAAUGACGAGUUGCUCAAGCUUUUUUGGAGGACGAAGAGAGUCCAACACCCAUUCUUCAACUUCUUUAUUCCUUGAAGCCUUUUUAAACUUUCCACUCCAAUGCAAUACCAAUCGAUGAAUCCCCUGCUUCUCAUUUAACUUGGCUUCCCCUGCAUCUUCACCAUUAACAUUCUCCAACCCAGAAAGACGGAAAUCACCUUCGAGGUUUGACAAAUAUUUCAAAUAUCUAAUAUGACAACCAUCACCUUUCGCUAUGAUAAAAUCAGAUAACCUUUGAAGAUUCGUUAGCUUAUCAAUUCUAAAAGGAAUCCUUUCUAUUGAGUUCGCACCUCUGAUAUCAAGAUAAUGCAAGUUGACAAGAUUUUCCAUCUUUGAAGGUAACCUUUGAAGCUUGUAACACCAAUGUAAUAACAAAGUUUCCAAAUGGUAAAGAGUGCACAAAGAAUCAGGUAAGCAUUCGAUAUCAGUGUAAGAAAAAUUUAAGUAGCGAAGAUGUUUUAAAUUUUCAAAAACAUCAGGCAACUCAGUGAUUUUAUACCUACUCAAAGAAAGCGUCCUUAAGUAGCCAAGUCUUGGUAACAAAUCAACCAAAACAACAUUAGUUAAAUAAGGCCACCGAUAAACACUAGUUAACAUUAAGGAUAAAAAAGUACGUAAGGAAUUCACUUGAUCAAAUGCUUCAAACUUCUUCACUGUGUCAUAUGUUCCAACAAUAUAAGAAGAAUGUCGAGUGCGAUUUGAGAACUUCCAUUUCUUAUCACCCUCUAAUUUUGAGCAUAUUUCCCCUGCAACUACUUGAGCUAAAUCAUUGAUAAGGUCAUGCAUUACGAAUCGGGACUUAUCUUUACUGGAUGUCUGAAAAAAUGACCUCGACACUAGAUCUUGAAAAUAUUGAUUUCCAAGAUCUUUAAUUUGAGGCAUAGCUUUUUGUUGCAAGAGACCUUCUGCUCUCCAUAACAAGAUAAUUUCUUCUUCCCCAAAUUCAUAAUCUUUAGGAAGUAUGGAGCAAUAUGCAAAACAUCGUUUCAAGUUUGACGGAAGAUGAUGGUAGCUUAAUCGCAAAGCUGGAAUUAUGCCACACUGCUCUUCUGGUAAGUUCCAUAUCUCACUCUCACAUAUUCUUUCCCAUUUUCCAUGAUAUUCAAUCGUGCGAAGCAUGCUUCCAAUGGCUUUUGCAGCCAAAGGUAAGCCAUUGCAUCUUCUAACAAUUUUCUCUCCAAUUUCUUUAAACUGGAGAUGUCCAUCGAAAUUUUUUGCUUUUAAUGCCUGCUGUGUAAAUAUGGAUAAAAUAGUUUAUCCAAAUGAAAAGCUUUGAGCGGAUCCACAAUAGAUGAAACAAUUUGAAGACGAGUGGUUACAAUGAUAUGGGUCCCUGCUCCAAACGGAGACUGUAAGAUGGUCCAAUCAUUAUAAUUCUCGUUCCAAAUGUCAUCUAAAACAAGCAAGAAUCUUUUCCCAGACAACUUCUCCUUCAACUUAACUUGAAGUAAAUCCAAGUUACUGUAAUCACAUGACUCAGAAGUGAUGGACUGUAAAAUUGCCUUUGUUAUAGCAAUUGCAUCAAAUUUAACAGAAACGCAUACCCAGGCCUUGUGGUGAAAAGACUGGUUGAUGGUGGCAUCAUUGUAAACAAGCUGGGCAAGAGUUGUUUUACCCAUCCCUCCCAUGCCGGCGAUGGAAAGGACUGAAACUCCGUUGGAGUUAUCACCUUUGAGAAACUCAAUCAUUUCUGUCUUCUCCUUGUGUCUGCCAACAUACUCCACAACUCCAUCCAGUACGGAAGUUGGUUGCAGCCUAGGUUGCUUUCCCUUGGAGGUUGGAGCUUGAGACAAGAUCUCACUCAACCCCAAACUACUUCUUCGAGUAGUCAAACUAUUCAGUCUAGCAGUGAUCUCUUUCACCUUGGGAAUCAUGGAAUUCUUAAACAGGAAAGAAGUGGGAGCGAAACUAGUACCAGUAAAGCAGGUAGGAAUGAGCUUCCGUACAUUGCUAGUGCUGGCUUGAGCUUGCGAUUUCUUAAGCUUGAGACGUAACUCUUCAUAAGCGAACUCAUCCAAGAUGUCAUCCACAUCGUAAGCCAAGUCCUGGAGAUCCUCCAACCAUUUCUUCACACCCAUGUUCUUGAUCUGCUUCUUCUCUGCAUCUUCCAACACUGCUUGGAUAUCAGGCAAUAUGGACUGCCACUGCUUGAGCUGCUGGUGGAGUUGGUUGUGAUUAGCAACAAAUUUGAGUGCAGAGUCGAGCGAUUUGCCCAACAACAGGUCCAGGAACCCAGAAAGAGCAGCCUCUCCAAUGACAGACAUGUUGGAAUUAUGAGAAAGAAGUUGAAAAGAGCAAUGAACAAAGCCAAAAUGGAAAGUCAGGGAACAAAAAGAGAAAGAAAGGGAAAUGGAAUCUGCAAAAUUAGAGAAAGUUGAAGAAGUUGGCACUAUUUUUUAAGCAUCCAAUAAUUCAGACUAUGAGUUGGGAAGGCAGUGGAACGUGAAAAAGGAUCCCAAGUGGUUGUUGAUGGGGAAAAGACAACGAAAGUGGAAAUUAAAGAGGUCCCAGUAGAGGUGAUCAUGGCUGGGCUGGGCCGGGUUCGGGUCGAGUUUGAAUAAAAUUUUAGACCCAUAUUUUAGGCCGGGCCAGACCGGGCUAAGAAAACAGGUCUAAAUUUUUGUUCGAGCCAAGCCCAAAAGAAAAUUACUAAGCCCAAGCCCGGCCCAACUUGCCCAUAUUAUUUUUUAUAGUUUAUUUCAUUAAAUAAAAAAUUUUAAAACAAAUAUUAAAACAAAAAAAAGACUAAAAUAAUUCUUAAAGCAAUACACAAAUUAAAAAUAUAAUAAAAAGUGGUUAUAUUAAAAUUGAAACAAAUUAGAACUAAAAUAAUAGCCAAAUUAAUAAUAAAACAAAAAUAUAUUUGUUUAAAAAUAAAAAUAUAUAUUUAAUAUAUAAUUCGGGUCGGGCUGGGUCCGGGUCAAAAAAGUUUUACCCCAGCCCGGCCCGUUUUUUAAACGGACCUCUUUUUUUUUUUGCCCAAACCCAUAUUUCGGGCCUAAAUUUUUAGCCGAACUGAUAUAAGAAUGCGCACGGACCAAGAUCGAGUUGCCAAGUCACGGAAAACUCUUAUGAAAACUUGAAACGAUCAGAUCUGAAACGAAUUAGCAUUCAAAUUAAAGAAAUCAAUCAGAUUUUAAAAAUAGACAAUUAGGAUUUGGGGCAGCAAGAAGAGAGGAAAAAUUGAGGGGUCAAACAGUUCUUGAAACCCAAAGGAGGUUGCAAUUCUGCCCAAUUGAACAACGGGGUAGUUUUCCCCAAAUUUUAGCAACCUAAUUUCACCAAAAAGGGAAGGAAUUUUAGUCGGCAAAAACCCUAGAAAUUGGAGAUUUUUGGUGCGAUUCUUGACUGCCAAGAGAGGAGUAUGGAUCGAUUUCUUUAAGUUGGAAUGAACUGAAAACACAACAAGAAGAUCGAUUAAAACAAGAUAAGCAAUCGGCACAAGGCAGAAUUUAAAGAAAAAAUUGACAGCAAGCAGAUAAAGAUAAAGUCAGCCUUGAAAUCCCAAGAGAUUUCACAACUCCCUUCAAACGGCUCUAAUCUUCCCUCCAAUGAAUAUCAAUGGCAAGAAGAAGGUUGAAGAUGGUUCCCACAAUCAAAAAGAUUGUUAAAACAACUUCUAAAAAAAACUCAAGAGAAAAUUCUUAGAGAACUCAAAGAGAAUUUUCACUCAAAACAAAUCUGAAAUUUUCAAUGUGUUUCUUAUGUGUCUUACAAGGGUGGCCGGCCAUGCCUAUUAAUAGGCCUUAAUAUUUUCCUAAUCCUAUUAGAAAACUAAAACUAAAAAAACUCCUAAUUAAAUAUUAAAGAGAAAUUCGAUCAAGGGCUUUAAAUUGGGCCUCUUGAACAGAAUAUUUACAUAACAAUUAAUUUAGAAAGUCUAAAAUUGAAACUAAGAAUUAAUUUUUUACAAAUUGGGCCACUUUACAAUUUGGCCCGAUUUUCAACUAAGUAUGAUUUUAACUUUUUGGUUGGGCUUUGGAAUCGUCUCAUUGGGCCUUGUGGUAAUUUGAGCCCAUCACGUUCUUGAGCUUGAGUUGGGCCUUUGUGACUCGUAUCACGAACCCUCUCAUUUUUCGAGCGGGCCAUCGGGCCGGGCCGGGUAACCCAACCCAUAUUACCUCUAGGUCCCAGUCCAUGAAAUUAUUGCACCCUCUCAUUUCAUAUCUCCCUGCAAUUAUUUGAAUAGCUUUUCUUUAAUUUUUCAUCUAUUUUAAUCAUUGAAUUUGUAUUUAUUUUUAUUAAAUCACUUCAAAAUAAAUAGAAAACCUAAAAGGGUAUACAAUCUUAACAAAGAUAAAAACAUUAAAAUUUUUAUUUAUUUUGAAAUAAUUUGACAAGAAAAUACAAGUUCAAAAGCUAAUUCUUUUUCAUAAAAUUAGAUAACCAAAUCUUUAUGUAUUUCUUUUAUGAGACAAAAGUGGAUUAAAGUGUUUGCAACUCUAAAAUGGAUGGCCGCUCUUUUAUAGGUAUAGAAUUUAAUGAUUCUUAAGAUAAUUUGUUGUGGUCAUUUGAGUUGUUAAUUUGUUAAUAAUAAUAAGGAGAACGAAUAGAAAGUAAUGGCUUGGCUCAUGAAUAAACGACCAAUCCCCGAUAGAAGAGAAGGUUCCAUUGGAACUAUUAUUUAUUUCAGGGUGUCUUGUCUCUCUCUUUUUUUACUUAAAAGAGAGAGAGAGAGAGAGAGAGGAAGUGCUAACAGAAAUGGUAAGAAGAUAUUGGAACAUAAAUUUGGAAGAGAUGUUGGAAGCAGGAGUUCAUUUUGGUCAUGGUCUACUUAUGGCUUCGUGCACUAUUUGUUAGAAUGCAUCAAACACAAAUCUUAAGAUUAAAUUAAAUUCUAAAAAAAUACUAAUACAAAUAAAAAUAUUAAAAUUCAAGAUAAAAAUAUUGAUGUGACAUUAAAUUAUUGAAAAUGGAUACAAAUAUGAUGGUAUCCCAAUUUUAUACUAUCAUAUUCCUCCAAAAUAAUUUUCCUUUUAAUAUGUAUAUUAUACUUUUUGGUUUUGGGCAGAAAUGGAUUGCAAAUGGAAUUUCUUUUCUUCUAUAGUUCUAAUUAUGUUCUUUCUUUUUCUCUUGUAUAAUAUUUCGCCGCCACGCCACCUUCCCAAUUUUUUCCCCUUCUUUUAUUUAAUUCUUGUUGAAUUAUUAGGGGUGUGUAAAUUUUGGAUAAAACCAAAUUAAUUUGGUUAAUUAAACAGUUAAUCGAAUUAAUUCGGUCAAGGGUCAGUUAAUAAUUUUUUGAAAGUUCAGUUAAUGGUUAAUUAGAUAAUUAGUGAACUGAACAAAGACAAAAUGGAAACCCAGGGACCAAAAUAGAAAGAAAGAAAGAUGGAUUCUGUGUAAUUAGUGAAAGUUGAAGAAGUUGGGACAAUAUUUUUUUAAGCAUCCAAUAAUUCAGACUAUGACUUGGAAGGCAUUGGAUUAUGAUAAAGAAGAUGGAUCCCAAGUGGUUGUUGCUGGGAAAAGCAAAUGAAAGUGGAAAUUAAAGAGGUCCCAGUCCAUGAAAUUCUUGCACCCUCCCAAGUGGUUGUUGCUGGGAGAAGACAAUGAAAGUGGAAAUUAAAGAGGUCCCAGUCCAUGAAACUAUUGCACCCUCCCAUUUUUCCGUCCCCGCAUUAGCUUUUCUUUUAGGCAUAAUGAUUACUCCUAAUUUGCAUAAAAAAUAAUUUUAACUCUUAAGUUUAUCUUUCAAUCAAACCACUCUAAAAUAGACCCGACAUACAUGUGAAUUAUAAUCUAGAAAACACAUUAACAUUUAAUUAAUUUUUAAAAUUUAAAAAAUUAAUUAAGUGAACAUUAGUAAAGUUAAAAAAAGUUACAAAUUUAUGGGCUAAAAAAUAAAAAUUUAAAUAGAGAACUAAUUUUUUUUUAAGAAGUCGAAUAAAUUAUUAUGUCUUUCUUUUAUUGGAUCAAAAUAGAUUAAAAUGUCUGCAAUUCUAAAAUGGAUGGACUUAGUAUUUGGAUACAUUAUUAUUUUUACUGGAGAUCGAGAAAAGAUGGACUUUCUAUGAGCCCAUUUUUCUGAUAGGAUUUAUUACCACUUUAGCAACUUUGGCGAUUUAGUCAAUUACUCGAGAUUCACGAUUAUUUUAUUUCUUGAUGCUAGCAAUGUAUAGUGAUCAAAUAGCAUCAUUUCUUCUUAAGACCUUUUACUUUUUUCAUCAUGUGGGAGUUUGAAUUAAUUCUCAUUUAUCUAUUUCUAUCCAUGAAGGGGAAGAAACAUCUAUGCUCGGUUACAAAAUUUAUUUUGUACAUUGCAGGCGGUUUCAUUUUUCUAUUAAUAGGAGUUUUGCGUCCCGGUUUAUACGGUUCUAAUGAACCAACAUUAAAUUUUGAAAUAUUAGAUCAUUUAGAUAAUCAAUCAUAUCCUGACACACUAGAAAUAAUAUUCUAUAUUGAACUUCUCAUUACUUUUUCUAUCAAAUUGUUGACUAUACUCUUACAUACAUGGUACGAUAUAAAAAAUUUCAAUAAAAAAAUAUAAAAUUAUUAAAUAUUAAAAUAAUAUAAUAUAAAUAUUUUUAAAAAAAUAAAAUUAAUAUGAACAGGGCUAACAUGAGUUUGGAUUAAUCUUAUGUAAAUAUAGACGGGUUUGAGCAACAUUUUAAGCCUAAAUUUUAGGCUGGGUCAGAUUUAGAUAAACAUAAAGUAAGUUAAUAUCAUGCUUAGACCCAACCAGUCUAUGAAUAUAUUUACUAACGAGGGACCUUUGUUUUGAAUUUUGUAAUAGCCUUUGUCCAUUGUCCCGAUUUCCAAGUAAAUGAACGUUGAGCUCCAUGCCAAUGGCAUCAAAAUAAUUAUCUCCAUUAACAACAAAAUAUAGUCCAACACAAGAAGGGAGUACUAGAAGAACAUAUUCUCCAUCUCAUAAACAUUUGAUAACAUCACUGUUGAAGCCUUUCAAAGCAGGGGAAAUCCAUAUAAAGUGUGAUAGAAAGCCCACUGUGACACAUUUAGCUUUCAAGCUUCAGAUUCCCUGUCUUACAAAAAUGACCAAAUAAUAUAUCACGUUUACAAUAUUAUCUGUCUUACAAAAACCAAAUAUCAGUGAACCACCAUCUUUGCCUAUCUUUUAAAGGGUUUCAUACAUGUGGUCUGAGCAUGACAAAAUAAGGGAUGCUCUGAAAUUUUGAUGAUGCAUCCAUCCAUGAUCACAGCAGUUGUGUACGAAAAUGAAAAACAACAUACUUUCUUUAGAAUGCAAAAAACUUGAUUAUAUUGAUAUGAAGCAGUAACCAAAAUGGUUAAAUGAAGUUUUUCAGUCAGUCACUUAGACACUGAGUUCAUUAAUGUCGUUCAAUCCACAUGAUCGAAAAAGCAGUUCCUCAUCAAGUGAAUUAAUGCAGCUCGAAAGUAGCUUUCAAAUGGAUGUAUCAUCUGAGAAUUUCCAAGAACUAGGAUGGCCAACUUUGAGAUCAGCAGACUAUAGUUUGUGGGAACACUGAGGCUGCAAGUUCAAAAGAAGUAUAAUCUCAAUGUCAUCAGUGUUUUACAAGUGAGAAAACCCCAAAUUGCAGGUCAGUGAACUCUCUUGUGUUAAUGCUUAAAUCUAGCUCUUUAACUACAUGCCGUACUGCGUAGUGUAUCCCUUCCUUAUCCUGAGAGGAUCAAUAAUAGACUGGUGACGACUCGUAUCCUUACACAAUAACAGGAAUCUGUCCACAAAGAUCAUAUGAAACUAUCAAGUAAAUUAAGACUUAUUCUUUUGAAAUACCAUUGGUCAAUAUUACAAUGGAAUGUCAAAUAUUUUCAACUAAAAUCCCAUUUCCAAGUACAAAGGUUAUAACAAUUGCAUUUGAAAACAUUGUCUUAAAAAAAAAUAGUUAAUAUAUUAUGGAAAAUUUUAGAAAGAUGAAGAGAAAGUCUAGGAUUGGCAGACCAAUGUCGAAAAGAAGGAUCGACUGACUAUACGGCAUAUUCCAAGUCCAUUCCAAAAUUAGUCUGUGCCAACCCAUAUUCUGAGAGCUAAGCAAACAUAUACGCAAAGGAAGCUUAGAAAUCAGAACAUGCAGAUGAAAACUGAACAUUCAAUUUGCUGAACAUCAAAUCAAAUAAGCUAAAAGGAAGGCUAGUUGAAUUCAUCCGCUAUUUUUGCCAAAUUAGUUUUCAAUGCCUGAAAAAUUGAAUACAAAUUAUAUAAGACUGAUUGCUAUUAUCUUGUUAUUCUGAGGACAAUCACAUAUGUGGAACUAUGGAACUAAAAAUGCUAUGAAAUUGCUUAAUGUUUAAAAUGGUUUCACACCUGUGGUUUAAGUGUGGAGAAACCAGUGCCAGGUUUUGCUGCUUUACUUUCAAUCUAAUUCCCUUGGGAUGACUGUUUUAUACUGAAAACGGACAUAAGGGAUGUGGGCAAUCUUGGACCACUGUCGACCUUUACCCCUACUGCACCCUUCUUCUAGCAACGGGCAAUUGAAAAUAUGUAGCUGCUCAAGUGAGAGAAGCAUAUCUUUUUCUGGAAGAGAUGUGAGUUUUGGACAAUUACUUAUUUCCAAUUCGUGAAGUGAAGUGAGGUGUUGAAAGCCCUUGGAGCACAUGAAUUCCAAAUUCUCAAAAUUUUCAAUGCAGAUAGAUGUUAGAGAAGGAGGCAGCAUUCUUCCUAUCCCUUCUUCUGGAAAUGACACCACACGUGAGCAUCCCUCACCGCCGAUAUUGAGCUCUUGAGUGGAGGUGAGUCUAUUUAAUCCCCAUUCAACAAGUGAUGUAUACAUUUUGGGUCCAUUUGAGAUUUCAAGUGAUGUGAGAUUCGUAGGGAAACCCUCUUCUGGGAAUGACACCACACGUGAGCAUCCCUCACCGCCAAUAGUGAGCUCUUGAGUAGAGGUGAGUCUAUUUAAUCCCCAUUCAACAAGUGAUGUAUAUAUUUUGGGUCCAUUUGAGAUUUCAAGUGAUGUGAGAUUCGUAAGGAAACCUCUUCUGGGAAGGAUAUAUCAGCUGAACACUAUAUAAAUAGUUAAAUGAAAAGACAAAAAGCAAACUCGUAAUAUUAUUUGUUAUCUUUUAAAUAAGGAUUUUUAUUUAAAGUUAUUUUUCAACCAAAUUGAUCUUUAGUUAAACUCGUGGCUUCAACUCAGUUAUAUAACUAUAUAUAGUAUAAUUAACAAACAAUAAAAUUGAAAUUGACAUACAUGUAUGCUGUGUGUAGCCUUAAAUACUCCUGUUUCAUGGUGUUAACCUCAAUUCCUUGCAACUUCUUUUUUUUAACAAAAAAAAAAGAAAAAUACGCACACACAAUAUUAGAAAUGUAAUUAUUAUUAUCGAUCGAGUCUUAAUUCAAUUGGCAUUAAUAUUAUUAUUUAUGCAAAGAGGAUAUCAAUAUAUAUAUAUACCUCAACUUGUUGCUCAUCAAAAGGGUGUUCUUGAGAAUGAUCUUCUUCCAUUCCUUUGCUGUACCUUGAAAGAGUGUAUUCUAUGCUACAUCCCUAAAAUGUCAUGUUUAAAAAAAUAACAAUAAAUUAAAAAUAAAAUUCUAACUCAUUAUUAUUGUUUGGACUUGAGCCGAUCAAAUUUAUGACAAGUUAUUCUUAACUUAUCGGAACUAUUUAUAUAUCAUUUUUGUUUUAAUAUGAGCAUGUGUUGUAAAAGUAUUAUAUAUAUAAUAUACUUGCAAAUAUUUCUUAAUUAUAAUAUGUAAAUAUAAAUUUUAAAAUUAUUAAUUAAUUUCAAUAAUUUAAUGAAUGGUUAUAUAUUAUUUUUAAAAGCAAUUAUAUAAGAAAGUAGUUAAGAAAGAAAAGAGAAAUAUUAAAAAUCCCUUUAUAGGAAUUAAUACUCAACGAUACAAGAAUAUAUUAAUUGAAAUGAGUCAAAACUCAAUGAAAUUUUAAUUGAUGUGAAACUUAAACUAUUUUAUUCUAGUUCAAUAUUGAGACGAUUCAUAACGAUUGAUACAACCAGUAUCGAAACUACCGACUACCAUACUACAAAGCGAAAAGAAAAUAAUGGAAAUCAAUCAAAUUACAACUCAACUUACUUUCAUGCUUAGAAAAAAAACAGUUCUAAAAAAUAAUCAUCCAAGAAAAUAAAUAUAUAUAAGUUUUAUAGACCGUUACAAACUAAUAUACACUCAUAUAAGUCGAUAUUAAUCAAAACACAAUAAAUUUUUAACUGAAACGAAACUUAAACUACUUUAUAUUAAUUCAAUAUUGAGACGAUAGCCAAUUAUUAAGAAAAGAAAAACAAUGGAAAUCAAUCAAAUUAUAGGUCAACUUACUUUCAUGCUUACAAAAGAAAUUGCUAAAAUUAAAAAUUGAAAAAAUCCCAGAUUUCGAUUAUUAAAAAUCAUCUAUAAUAUAUAUAUAUAAAUAAGUAUUAUACUAUAUUAUAUACCUAGUGCUGGACCAUUGAUAGACCUUGCCGCUGCUUGAAAAAAUAAUAACCCCAACCUCUGCAUCACAUAAAAUGGACAAUUCUUUAGCUUUCUUCAACAACCCAUUUUGCCUCUUUGAAAACGUUACUUGCUUGCUAUUCAAAAUUUCAAUCUUUUUUAUUUGAAUUUUCCCUCUACCCAUCUGAAAAUUUUCUUCUUUCCUUUACUUUUUCCCGGAAAAUUUUUAAAGGAAAAGUUAAACCCCAGAUUUUUUUUUUCUUAAAUUUUGAAAAAAACCAAAGGUUUUUAUAACAACAAACCGAUCAAAGAAAAUAAGGCAAAAAAUUUAGGGGAUUGUAAAAGGAUUCUUUUUUUAAGAGAAAAGAAAAUAAGUAAGUAAUGUUUAUAUAUAACAAUGGUUUUCUUAAAUGGAAAUGGAAAAUGAUAUGGAAAAAGAAAAUAUGUGACCAAAAUUAGGGUGAAAGCUUGAAAGGUGACAGAUUUGAUACUAUAUCUACCAAUUAUCCAACUAUGGAAACUCUAUUUAUUAUAAGUUUAGUUUAUUUUUUCUAUUUAUCUUAAUUUCUCUACCUUUUUACUCUCCUGUUUUUGGUAUUUCAACUCAAAAUGGAUUUUAUUUUUGCUUUGGGUUUCUUUUUUUUAAUAUAAAAAGUGGUUUUUAAUUAUUUAUAUAUUAUUAAUGUGUUUUAACAAUUUUUGUUAGUGAAUAUUGAUUUUUUUUUUGUGAAUUACAAUAGGAGGGCAAAGCCCUAAUAACAACACGACUAGUGCAAUUCGAAUGUAGGCCACACUUGAGACGUUGAACACAAGUAUUUCACGAGGACAUAUAACACAUGUUUUUUGUUUUUAAAUUCAUGGCUAAAAUAAUAAAAAAAACCUCUUUAUUUUAUUGUAUUCAAAUAAUAAUAAAAACCAUGGUUUUAGUCGCACCGGCCGGUGCCGCCGUUCUACUGUUAUAGCGCAACAAGCAACACCCUUUUCUAUACUAAUGAAAAUUUUGGCUUGUACCGUUCGCAUUGACCGAAACAUGGUACACUUGCUGCUGCAUGAAUAGUGUUAAAAAAUAUAAAACUUUUAAUUGUAUGUUUUCUAUUAGACUAAUAUUUAAUUGAAAUGUAUUGACCAAUAAAAAAAAUAUUACACUAGAAAGUAAAGUUUAACAUUUAAAAUUUUUUUAGAGCAUACUUUUUCAUUUAAAAUAUAAAAAUUAAAAUAUAAUAAAAAAACUCACUCACCUCGUUAUCAUAGAAAAAUAUCCACUCGCCCUUAAACUUUUUUUAUUGAAAAAAUCCUCUCAUCCUUCGAUUUUUUUUUCUUCUUAAUUUUGAAUUUAUUAAAUGAUGAGUUUUUACUUGUGGAGUUUAUUAAUCAAUAUUUUAUAUAAUUGAUGAAUAGUUUUAUAUUAGAAAUUUAUUUAUAACAAUUUAUUUGAUAUUUGUAUAUUUAUUUAUAUAAAUAUAUUAAAUAUUUUAAAAAAUAUCUAUAAAUUCAAAGUGGUACAUAAAAUAGACUAGUAUCAAUACAUACCGGUUCUCAUAGAAAAGUAGUACUUACACCAAUGUGGUAAUGGCUACCUUGAAAGCAAGUAUGUGGGUGGCUAUAAUGUUUGAUGCUUUAUUUUCUUUGAAUAUUUUGCUUUGAUGCUUUUGAUAUGUGCUGAUCUUUGAGUGUAACCUUUGGGAUAUAUAUGGCCAUCUGAAUUUUUAUGAUUUGCUAUGCAUUGAUUUUGGUUGUUUUAUUAAUAAAUUUAUGUUUUGGAUUGAGAAAAAGAAUAAGAAAUUCAAAACACAAAAAAGAAAGUAGAGAAAGUGAACAUAAUAAUAUACGUGGUUCGCGAAUAUUCCCUACAUCCACGGGCAGAACCAAAAACGAAAUUCACUACUAAAAAUUGGAGAUUACAAUAGAAUUACAUCAUAAAAAUAAAAUACCUUGCCAAUAACUAUCCACAAACUUUGAAUGGAUUCAUGGUCUUAGAAAUUCGAAAAACUAAGAUGGACAUCUUUGAGAUUGGACAGAACAAUAUUUUGGGAACUCUGUUAUCUUACAUGUGUUAAAUUGAGCUCUCUAAUACCAUGUUGUAACGUGUACUGUAUCCCUCCAUUCAUCCUGCAAGGAUCAAUACCAUGUCUACAGUGAUGACGAAAUCUGUUGGCACUGAUAUCCUUAUGCAAUAACAGAAAUCUAUCCACAAAGAUCAACAAACUCUCACGUAAAAGACUUGUUCUUCUGAAAAACCAUUGGUUAAUAGUACUACGAAAUGUCAAAUAUUUUUAACUAAGAUCCCAUUAUCAUAUACCAAAAUAGCUUAGAUAUUGGAAGAUGCAAAUGAAAACAGGACAUUCAAUUUGCUGAAUAAAUGUUGCAGAGAAUUGACUAACCGCUUUACUAAAUCAAAUAAGCUGAAGCAGAUGAGUUGAAGUUCACUAUUUUUCGCCAAUUUAGCCUUCAAUGCCUGCAAAAAUUGAAUACAAAAUAUAUAAGAUUCAUUUCUGUUAUCAUGCUGUUCAUGAGGUCAAUCAGAUAUAUAAAAAAUAAAGCUAUGAAAUUUAUAAAUGCUUAAAAUCCAUUUCACACCUGUGGUUUGAGUGUGGAGAAAUCGAUACCAGAUUUUGCUGCUUAACUUUCAAUUUAAUUCCCUCGGGAUGACUGUUUUAAAAUCAAUUUUAACAAAAGGUAUGUGGGAAAUCUUGGACCACUCUCGUCCUUUACCCCUACUGCACCCUUCUUCUAGCUAGCAACGGGCAACGCCAAAUAAAUAGACGCUCAAGCGAGAGAAGCAUAUCUUUUUCUGGAAGAGAGGCGAGCUUAGGACAAUCAUAGAUGGCCAAUCGUUGAAGAGAGGUGAGGUGUUGUAAGCCCUUGGAGCACAUGAAUUCCAAAUUUUCAAAUCUAUGGAUGCUGAUAUCGGUGAGAGAAGGAGAAGCAUCAUUCCUAUCGCUUCUUCUGGAAAUGACACCACAUGUGAGCAUCCUUCACCGCUGAUGUUGAGUUUUUGAGGAGAGGUGAGUCUGUAAAAUCCCCAUUCAACAAGUGAUGUAUAAAUUUUGGGUGCGUUUGAGAUUUGAAGUGAUGUGAGGUUGGUAGGGAAACCCUCUUCUGGAAAGGAUAUGUCAGCUGAACACUUCCACACUGCUAAUUCUCGAAAGGAGGUGAAGUUGUUGAUGCACUUGGUAAGGGCUCUAAAAUUUUCACAACCCCCAAUUGAGAGAACUCUGAGAUUUGUGGUGGGCAACCCACUUUCUUCCAAUGAAACAAGAUUUGGACACCUAAAUAAUCGAAUCUCCUGAAGAUGGCUGAGCUUGUCUAAUCCCCGAGGUAAUGAUUUAAUUUUUUCAGCAUCAUGAAUGACAAUGCUUUCGAGAUCAGUGGUUUCAAGGAAGUCUUGGGCUAUGCAUUCCAACAUUGGACAAUCCCCGAUAAAUAACUGUUUAAGCAUUACGGGUAACUUGGCAUUUAAAACUAAGCUACUUAGCUUUGAACAACAUCGAAUUUUGAGAUGUUGAAACCGAUUGCAUAUAUCGUCCCUUGAUGAUAACCAUAUUAGAGAUGGACAGCAGCUUAUAUCUAAGCGCUCAAGAAGACAAGUGUUGGUACUCAUACUCUUAUUAGUAUUUUCUUUUUCAUCAACCAAAUAUUGCAAAUUCACGCAAUUCACAAUCCUCAGCUCUUUUAAAGCAGGGGGAAAGUUACUCUCUGCAAAACAAACCAAGCCGGGACAGUCUCCAAGUGUUAUUCUUGUAAUGAAUGGGAAAGCAUGUAAGGCUUCUGGUAGUCUACUGAGCCUUUCACAAUCUCUUAUAAACAGAGAUUCAACACCUGGAAUCUUGUCAAGUUGCAAUCUCUCCUCCUCUGCUGCCAAAGAGACCAAUUGGGGACAACUGACAAUCUCAAUGAAUCGGUGCCCGACUAAUCUUAACCCAAUUUGCGAUAAAGAUCCCAACUCCCAACCAGAGAUCUUAAAUGUUUCGGAGUUUGCAAAUCUCAAAAGUAUCCUCUCUGCCGAAAUAUUACACUUUGAAAUAUUUGAAAGAGACGCAUGUUUCAAAGAGGUAACCUUCUGUACAGACAAAGAACCUUCAUCCACCAAUUCUUCACACCCUGCAAUGCUUAAUUCACACAGCAAGGGAAAACUUGAAAUUGAAACUACCAGUCUCUGACACUCAUAGAUUUCAAGUUUCUGCAAGGAUUGAAGGAUGGUUGGCAACCUUCCCAACAAUAGAGGACAUUUUGUGAUUGAAAGAAAACGAAGGCUGGGGAAUUUCGAUACUUGCUCAUCAUCUUCACAAAGGUCCCACUCCUCCCAAUUCAGCAUAUUGUCAAAGCACAAAGAUUCUAAUGAUGCAAAAGCAUUUGAUUGAUUUUCUCCUAACAACUCAGCACCAAUCUUGUGUACUUGACGCAAACCACCAAUUGAAAGAUCUUUUAACAACAGCAACCUUCCAAUCGAUGGUAGAGAUUUGCAAUUUUGACAGUUGCGGAGCUCCAAUGACAACAUAUUUUUGAAGGAAGAAUCUGCAAUCCAAGUAGAGAAUUUUGCACCACUAAAAUUCUGAAUGACGAGUUGCUCAAGCUUUUUCGAAGGAUGAAGAGAAUCUAACACCCAUUCUUCAACUUCUUUUUUCCUUGUGUCCCAACUCCAUUUCAAUACCAAUCAAUCAAUCCCCUGCUUCUCAUUUAACUUGGCUUCCCCUGCAUCUUCAUUAACAUUCUCCAACCCAGAAAGACAAAAAUAACCUUUGAGGUUUGACAAAUAUUUCAAUUCUCUGAUACUAUGUCCAUCACCUUCCCCUAUGAUAAAAUUUGAUAACCUUUGAAGAUUCGUUAGCUUAUCAAUUCUGAAAGGAAUCCUUUCUAUUAAGUCAGCAACUUUGAUAUUGAGAUAAUGUAAGUUGACAAGAUUUCCCAUCUUUGAAGGUAACCUUUGAAGCUUCCAACACCGUCUCAAUAAUAAAGUUUCCAAAUGGUAAAGAGUGCACAAAGAAUCAGGUAGGCAUUUGAUAUGGGUGUUAGAAAAAUUCAAGUAGCGAAGAUGUUUUAAAUUUUCAAAAACAUCAGGUAACUCUUUUAUCUUAUACCCACUCAAACAAAGCACCCCUAAGUAGCCAAGUCUUGGCAACAGAUCAAGCAAAACAACAUUAGUUAAAAAAGGCCCCCAAACAUAAUUUCUAGAAAAUAUUAAGGGUAGAAAAGUACGUAAUGAUUUCACUUGAUCAAAUGCUUCGAACUUCUUCACUGUGUCAUAUUCUCCAGCAAUAUAAGAAGAAUGCCGAGUGCGAUUCGAUAACUUUUGUUGCAUAUCACCCUCCUGUUUGGAGCAUAUGUCUCCCGCAACUACUUGAGCUAAAUCAUUGAUGAAGUCAUGCAUUACAAAUCAGGACUCAUCUUUACUGGAUGUCUGAAAAAAUGACCUUGACACUAGAUCUUGAAAAUAUUGAUUUCCAAUAUCUUUAACUUGAGGCAUAGCCUUUUGUUGCAAGAGACCUUCUGCUCUCCAUAACAAGAUAAUUUCUUCUUUUUCAAAUUCAUAAUCUUUAGGAAUUAUGGAGCAAUAUGCAAAACAUCGUUUCAAGUAUGACGGAAGAUGAUGGUAGCUUAAUCGCAAAGCUGGAAUUAUGCCACACUGCUCUUCUGGUAAGUUCCAUAUCUCACUCUCAUAUAUUCUUUCCCAUUCUCGAUGAUAUUUAACUGUGCGUAGCAAGCUUCCAAUAGCUUUUGCAGCCAAAGGUAAGCCAUUGCACCUUCUAAUAAUUUUCUCUCCAAUUUCUUUGAACUGGGGAUGUCCAUCGAAAUUUCUUGCUUUUAAUGCAUGCUGUGUAAAUAUCGAUAAACAAUCAUCAUCUGAUAGUUUAUCCAAAUGAAAAACUUUGAGGGGAUCCACAAUAGAUGAAACAAUUUGAAGACGAGUGGUUACAAUGAUAGUGGUCCCUGCUCCAAACGGAGACCGUAAGAUGGUCCAAUCAUUAUAAUUCUCGUUCCAAAUGUCAUCUAAAACAAGCAAGAAUCUUUUCCCAGACAACUUCUCCUUCAACUUAACUUGAAGUAAAUCCAAGUUACUGUAAUCACAUGACUCAGAAGUGAUGGACUGUAAAAUUGCCUUUGUUAUAGCAAUUGCAUCAAAAUUAUCAGAAACGCAUACCCAGGCCUUGAGAUCAAAAGACUCGUUGAUGGUGGCGUCAUUGUAAACAAGCUGAGCAAGAGUUGUUUUACCCAUCCCUCCCAUACCGACGAUGGAAAGGACUGAAACUCCAUUGUAGUUAUUACCUUUGAGCAACUCAAUCAUUUCUGUCUUCUCCUUGUGUCUGCCAACAUACUCCACAACUCCAUCCAGUACGGAAGUUGGUUGCAGCCUGGGUUGCUUUCCCUUGGAGGUUACAGCUUGAGACAAAAUCUCACUCAACCCCAAACUACUUGUUGAAGCCGUGGCCUGCAUUGCAACAAAGAACCAACAGCAACAAAUUGGUCAAAAGACCAGCAGCAGCAGCAAAUUGUACAAUUUUAGCUGCUAUACUAUUUUGUAGCAAAGAAAUGGAGUUGGUUCAGUUAUAAAAUUAUUUUUUGAAUACUUGUUCCUAUGGAACUUAGCCUAAAUCUUUGUAAUGAGUUAGCUAAGUUAGUAGGAAAGAUUGACUGAUGUAAUAGCUGGUAUGCCAGCUUUCUUUUGUAUACAAGUUGCUAUAUUUUUUAGUAAGUAUUAAGUAAGAGCAGUUAAAUUAGUAGGUAACUGUCAAAUACUUUUGUAACCUUCAUAUAUUCAAAAUUUGAAUGAAACUAUGAUGACUUUUCAUUUUACAAAUUUUCUUGCUGAGUUCUUUUCUUUUGUUUUUCUUUCAUUCGUUUUUUACUUUCUUUGCUACUGCCAUUUAUCCAACAAAUGGUAUCAAGAGCUUUCAGUCUUUGAGGGCCUUGGUUGUACACUGUCACUAAGCAAAUUGUGUUUGAAACAAAAGAAGAAGAGGUUGUUUUGCUUGCUGAAAAAUGAGUUUUACACCACCUCUUCCACCUGUCUUUGCUGGAGAAAAUUACAACAUCUGGGCAGUGAAAAUGAGAACAUACAUGCAGGCACACGACCUGUGGAAUGUUGUUCUCAAUGACACUGAGCCACCACCACUAAGAGCCAACCCGACUAUAGCCCAGAUUAGGCAGCACAAUGAAGACUGUGCCAAGAAGUAUAAGGCUAUGUUGUGCCUUCAAAGUGGAGUUUCUGAUGUUAUUUUCACAAGAAUAAUGGCUUGUGACUCUCCAAAGCAGGCCUGGGACAAACUCAAGGAGGAGUUUCAGGGGUCUGACUAGACCAGGCAACAGCAGCUGAUCAACAUGAGAAGAGAUUUUGAAAAUCUCAAAAUGAAGGACUCAGAAACCAUCAAGCAGUAUGCUAACAGAAUCAUGGCUACUGUCAACAACAUAAGGCUGCUUGGGGAAGAAUUCAGUGACCAAAGAGUGGUUGAGAAGGUCAUAACAACCUUGCCAGAGAAUUAUGAAGCAAAAAUUUCUUCUCUGGAAGAUUCAAGGGACUUGUCAACAAUCCCUUUGACAGAGCUUAUAAAUGCUCUCUAUGCUCAAGAGCAGAGAAGGGCAAAUAGGCAGGAGGACCACUAUGAAGGAGCUUUUCAGGCUAGAAGCAGAGAAAGCUCAAGUGCAAACUUAAAUGCCAAAGGCAAGAAGCCCUGGACUGAGAAGAAGAAGAAAGAACCUGUCAAAAGGAAGUUCCCACCUUGUGUCCAUUGCAAGAAGACUACUCAUCUUGAGAAAUACUGCUGGUACAGACCAGACAUUCAAUGUAGAGCCUGCAAGCAAUUUGGCCACAUUGAAAAGGUCUGUAAGAGCAAGCGAAAACCACAACCACAAUUUCAAAGCCAAGCUCAAGCUGCAGAAGAGGUUGAAUCACCAGAAGACCAUGUCUUUUCAGCAUCAUGCUUUGCAAGCUCGAGCAAAGUUAGUAAAAUAUGGCUGAUUGACAGUGGAUGUACCCACCAUAUGGCUUCUGAGAAGAGUAUAUUUAAGGAGCUUGACACCACCUUCAAGUCCAAAGUCAAAAUUGGCAAUGGUGAGCUGCUGGAGGCAAAAGGGAAAGGCAAGGCUUUGAUAAGCACUAAGUCAGGUAUUAAAACCAUUUUAGAGGUUCUCUAUGUACCUGACAUUGACCAAAACUUGCUAAAUGUUGGCCAGCUAUUGGAUAAGGGUUACUCUCUGAUUUUUGAAGGCAAAAACUGUUUGAUCAAAAAUGCUGCUGGUGAAGUGUUGACUACAGUGGCUAUGCAAGACAGAACCUUCAUUGUGGAUGUGAAUCAACUGCAAGCCAAGGCAUACGCAUCUCAGUCUGAUGAGACAGACUUGUGGCACAGGAGGAUGGGGCAUGUGAACUACAAUUCACUGAACAUACUGCACAAAAUGGAUUUGGUCAGUGAUAUGUCCAAAAUUGAGCCAAAGGAUGCUGUAUGUAAGGUCUGUCAGCUAGGCAAACAGACCAGAUUACCCUUUCCAGUCAACAAGGCAUGGAGAGCACAAGGGAAGCUUCAGCUUAUUCAUACAGACAUCUGUGGACCAAUGAAGACUACCUCCUUAAAUGGCAGCAGGUACUUUGUACUCUUCAUUGAUGAUUAUUCAAGGUUCUGUUGGGUAAAUUUUUUGAAGCAUAAGUCAGAUGUUUAUGACUUUUUCUGCAAAUUUAAAGCCUUGGUCGAAAACCAAGCAAAUUGCAAACUAAAAUGUUUGAGGUCUGACAAUGGUUCUGAGUAUGUAUCUCAGAAGUUUCAAAAAUUGUGUGAUGAUGCUGGAAUUCAACACCAAUUGACUACUGUGUACACACCACAGCAAAAUGGUGUUUGUGAAAGGAAAAACAGAACAGUCCUUGAUAUGGCUAGGUGUUUGUUAUUUGAGGCUAAAAUGCCUAAUGUUUUUUGGGCUGAAGCUGUGAAUACAGCUAUUUACCUGUUGAAUAGGUUGCCAACUAAUGCAGUCAAAGGAAAAACUCCCUUUGAAGCCUGGUUUGGACAGAAACCAUCUGUCUCUCAUUUGAAGGUAUUUGGCUGUCUAUGUUAUGUGUUGGUACCUGAGGAGAGAAGAACUAAGUUAGACAGGAGGUCCAUGCCUGGGGUGUUUGUUGGCUACAGCAAUGUGAAGAAAGGAUACAGAGUCUUUGAUCCACUGACCAAGAAGGUUGUAGUGAGCAGAGAUGUGAAAUUCAGUGAAGCAAGUAGCUGGAAAUGGGAUGGAAUUGAAGCAAAUUUGCCAGAUGGAGAAGAGAUUGAUGUUGAUCUGCAGUAAGCUGAAAAUGAAGAAGUAACUGAAAAUGGCUAUGAUGAUGAACCUGUUCGAGGCACUAGGACAUUAACAGACAUCUAUGAGAGAUGUGCAGUAACCAUAGUAGAGCCUUCAUGUUUUGAAGAAGCUGCAAAAGAAAAGUGCUGGCAGGAUGCUAUGGAAACUGAAUUUAAAAUGAUUCAGAAAAAUGAUACAUGGGAGCUUGUGGAUAGACUUGAAAACAGAAGAAUCAUUGGUGUCAAAUGGGUCUUUAGGACUAAAAACAAUGCUGAUGGUACUUUGAACAGACACAAGGCCAGAUUGGUUGUAAAAGGUUAUAGUCAGCAGCAAGGGGUUGAUUUUUCUGAGACUUUUGCACCUGUUGCAAGGUUGGACACUAUCAGACUGCUGCUUGCUUUGGCAGCUCAAAAGCACUGGAAGGUGCACCAUUUAGAUGUUAAGUCAGCCUUUCUAAAAGGCUUUCUUAAUGAAGAAAUAUUCACUGAGCAACCUGAGGGUUUUGAGGUCCCUGGUGAAGAACAGAAGGUUUACAAGUUGAAAAAGGCCUUAUAUGGCCUAAAACAGGCUCCAAGAGCCUGGUAUGAGAGGAUUGAUGGCUACUUAGCAAUGCUCGGGUUCACAAAGAGUAUCAGUGAGCCUACACUCUAUGUUAAGAAGGAUCAGAAGGAAACUUUGCUAAUUGUUUCCUUGUAUGUUGAUGAUCUGCUAGUCAUUAGCUGUAAAGAUGAACUGGUAGAAGACUUUAAGAAGCAGAUGCAACAUGUCUUUGAGAUGACUGACCUUGGUCUAAUGACCUAUUUUCUUGGUAUGGAAAUCAAACAAGGAAGUGAUGGUAUUUUCAUAAGUCAACAAACAUUUGCUUCCAAGGUGCUUGAAAAAUUUUGCAUGUUGAAAUGCAAAUCAGUCACUACACCAGUUGCAUUGGGGGAAAAAUUAUCAAGUGUCAGUGAGCAUGAUCGAGUAGAUGAGAGAGCAUAUAGAAGCUUAAUUGGUUGUUUGCUUUAUUUAACAGCAACUAGACCAGACAUUGUCUAUACUGUUAGUCUACUUUCAAGGUUUAUGCACUGCAGUAAUGUGGCACAUUUGAAGGCAGCAAAAAGAGUGUUAAGGUAUGUCAAAGGAACCAUCGAUGCUGGUGUAAAGUUUUGGAGGGCAAAUGAGCUGAAACUCUUAGGCUAUUCUGAUAGCGAUUGGGCAGGGUCAGUUGAUGACAUGAGGAGCACUUCAGGUUAUUUUUUCACCUUAGGCUCGAGUGUUUUCAGCUGGAGUUCGAAGAAGCAACAAACUGUUGCACAAUCUACAGCAGAGGCUGAGUAUAUCUCAGCUGCAGCAGCUGUGAACCAAGCCAUUUGGCUUAGGAAGAUUUUGGAUGAUUUGAAUGAAAAUCAAGCUCAGCCUACUGAGAUUAGAGUGGAUAAUCAAUCAGCUGUGGCCAUAGCCAAGAAUCCAGUAUUCCAUGGUAAGACUAAACACUUCAAAAUCAAAUUCCAUUUUGUUAGAGAAGCUGAGCAAUCUAGGGAGGUUAGCUUAGUUCAUUGCAGCUCAGAAAUUCAGCUAGCUGACAUUUUAACUAAACCAUUGGGAGCCAACCGAUUUAAUGCUUUGAAGGAAAGGAUUGGUGUUUGUUGCAUACAGACCAAGGAGGAGUGUUGAAGCCGUGGCCUGCAUUGCAACAAAGAACCAACAGCAACAAAUUGGUCAAAAGACCAGCAGCAGCAAAUUGUACAAUUUUAGCUGCUAUACUGUUUUGUAGCAAAGAAAUGGAGUUGGUUCAGUUAUAAAAUUAUUUUUUGAAUACUUGUUCCUAUGGAACUUAGCCUAAAUCUUUGUAAUGAGUUAGCUAAGUUAGUAGGAAAGAUUGACUGAUGUAAUAGCUGGUAUGCCAGCUUUCUUUUGUAUACAAGUUGCUAUAUUUUUUAGUAAGUAUUAAGUAAGAGCAGUUAAAUUAGUAGGUAACUGUCAAAUACUUUUGUAACCUUCAUAUAUUCAAAAUUUGAAUGAAACUAUGAUGACUUUUCAUUUUACAAAUUUUCUUGCUGAGUUCUUUUCUUUUGUUUUUCUUUCAUUCGUUUUUUUCUUUCUUUGCUACUGCCAUUUAUCCAACACUACUUCUUCGUGUAGUCAAACUAUUCAGUGAAUCAGUGAUGUCUUUCACCUUCGUGAUCAUAGAAUUAUUAAACUGAAAAGAAGUGGGAGGGAAAAUACUACGAAUAAUCCUUUCAGGAAUGAAUUUCCGGAUCUUACUAGGUCUGGCUUGAGCUUGAGUGUCUUGGAGAUUGAGGCGUAACUCUUCAUAAGCAAACUCGUCCAAGAUGUCAUCCACAUCGUAAGCCAAGUCCUGGAGAUCCUCCAACCAUUUCUUCACACCCAUGUUCUUGAUCUGCUUCUCCUCUGCAUCGUCCAACACUGCUUGGAUAUCAGGCAAUAUGGACUGCCACUGCUUGAGCUGCUGGUGGAGUUGGUAGUGAUCAGCAACAAAGUUGAGUGCAGAGUCAAGCGAUUUGCCCACCAACAGGUCCAGGAACCCAGAAAGAGCAGCCUCUCCAAUGACAGACAUGGUGGAAUUGUGAGAAAUAAGGUGACAAGAGAAAUGAGCAAAGCCAAAAUGGAAAGCCAGGGAACAAAAAAGAAGGAAAGGGAAAUGGAAUCUGCAAAAUUAGAGAAAGUUGAAGAAAUUGGCACAAUAUCCUUGAAGCAUGUAAUAUAAUAAUUCAGACUAUGAGCAAUGAGUUGGAAGUCACUGGGUACAGAUAAAGAAGCUGCUUUUCGUGUUAAUGGGAAAGGAAAAAUGGAAAUGAUUUGAAUUUUGAUGCUCUUCUUUUCUCUUACUUUUGGUCAUUAUCCUAAAUUGACCUUCACCGUAUAUGUAAUUUAAUUAAGCAUCAAAGUAUUAUAUUCCUCACAACUUUAUCGCCAAAAUAUCGCCAACACCAAUACUCUAAAUUUUUGAAUCACAAAUAUUUACAUUAUUUAGCAUAUAGAAAAAAAUCCAAAAUUAAAUGAUAAUUUUUACAAUUUUAUAAUUUUAAUAGUCUGUAUCUUUAUAAAAUUUAAAAGAUUAUAUCAUAUUUUUAUCAUAUUUAGGGGAGCAAAGUAUAAUUUUAUAUUUACUAAUUUAAAAUUUUAAAAUAUUUAAAGAGUCUAAAUGAAAAAUUUUUCAUUUUAGAGGACCUUGCCAACCCCCUAGCUACGCCCGAGAUUGGUUGUAGCUAUAUUGUUAAUUAGCUUACUAUUUUACUAUUUAUAGUAUUAUUUAAACUUAUGACUAGUUGAUGUCACGAAUUAAUCGGGUACCAACUUGGUUAAAGAAAAUAUGAAAAUGUCACUCUAGUCUUUUUAUUAUAAAUAAAAAUAAAAAUUUGUGCAUGGGAUUUUGAACCCAUACCAACUAUAUUAAUAAAUUAUUAAUUUACCAUUCAACUAAAACUUUAAUAUUUUUAUACAUUUUAAUUUUAUUGUGCACACUUUAUUGUUAAUUAAUUUCAAACCUUAUGCAUUAAUUAUUUAUUGCAUGUUAUAUUCAAACGCACACUUAUAUUCUAAAUAUAUGAUUCCCGAACAUACAUGUGUGAUAAGUAUACUAAUUGUAACCUGUCUUCCUAAUUGUUGUCCUAAUUUAUGAUUUGCUUUCUUACUAGAUCUGUGAUACGAGCCAAGGAUGUGACACUCAAAGGGUUGUCUUUUCUAGUGGUUCAAUCACUCGAAGCAAGGCACGUCAAUUAAAAUCAAAGAUGAAUGCUUUUGUCCAAGACUUUGUUGCUACAAAUUUAAUUCAUCAUGUUCGUGACAUUGACAAAUACGGGAAUGCAAUUCACUGGACCAAUCUUGGAAUAGUGAAAGCCCAUAAAUUGGUGGAUUAAUCUUUUUUGUAUCUUAUUAUUAUUAUUAUUUACUUAAUUCUCAUUGGUUAGGACAUAUCAUUUAUGAGUUAAGUAAUUUUAUUGGUUAGGUUAUUAUUUAUUUAUUUUCUUAGAUAAUUUUAAAGAGUUUUAUUAGGAUUCAAUUACUUUUUAAAGAGUUUUUAUUAGGAUUCAAUUGCUCUUGAAAGAGUUUUAUUAGGAUUCAAUUACUCUUGUAAUUUGCCUAUAAAUAGGCUUGUUUGUUAUUAUUUAUUUAUUUUCUUAGAUAAUUUUAAAGAGUUUUAUUAGGAUUCAAUUACUCUUUAAAGAGUUUUUAUUAGGAUUCAAUUACUCUUGAAAGAGUUUUAUUAGGAUUCAAUUACUCUUGUAAUUUGCCUAUAAAUAGGCUUGUUUUCUACACAUUGGGGGAGGAAUAAAAGAAGAGCAUUUGUUUUCUUUCAAAUUUGUGUGAGGCAAAUUUUUGGGAGUAGAGUGAUUCUUCUCUUGCUAUUUAGUUUGGAGUUUGUUACUUUCGAGGGUAUUUCGGAGUUGCAAAUAUUCAAAUUUCUUUCCCGUUCAUCGGUGUUUCUAGAGGUUCUUCUUCUAGGGGUUUCGUAGGGAGCCGCUCAAUCAUUGCGUUUUUGGUUACAAGUUAACCAAGGGUUCUAUAGGGCAAAUCUAUCAUUAUUAUUAUUAUUAUUAUUAUUUAACUAAUUUUAUUUAUUCUCGUUUUUUUUAUUUCUAAUUUGUGUUUCUCUUGUGUCUAGAUCCGGGAUUCCGCAUCAAUCUGUUAGCCAAACUCAAAUUAUCUUCCUUUUAGAUCAAUUAAUUGACUUAAACCUAACUCAAUUACAUUUCUUUCUAGAGUGAUUAACUAAAAUAAUCGACCGAGAUUGUUUCUAUUAUUAUAUUUAUGAAAUCAUGAUGGUUUAGUUAUUGGUAUUUUUUGUUGGGGUUAGGUUAAUUUAAUUUUCAAUUUUUCUAAACUAAAAUUUACAUCUAGAUUUGAUGAUGAUUGAAAACAUUUCUGUCUUUUUGGGUUGAAAACAUCACUGGAAAUGCAAAAGGAGAGAAGGUGAAGCCUUUCAAAUUCUCCACAUGGCAAAUGGUGCUGACAUGUCAGAUGGGCCGCUGUGCCAUACUAUGUUAGAAAAAUUAUAAAAACAUUUUAAAAUUAAUAAAACAUAUAUAUACAUCUAGAAUGAAUCUGGACAAAUGGUUAUCCCAAUUCAAAUGAAUUUGGACAAAAGAAUAUAGCCUUUAUACCAAAGCAAUUAGUUUUAUAUUAGAGGUAUUAGAAUUCACGUUCUAUUUUGUUAAUCUACUUAUACAUGUUAUCUAAUAUGUUAAUUUUGUCUCAAAUCCGAAAAUAAUUGGUGCUCAAAAUGAUUCAAACCCAAGAUGACAUAAAUUUGAGAUGACCCUAUUUGAAAAACUUGAAUGGCAAACUCAAAUGGUCGUAACCCAAAAUGGCUCAAACAUGAAACAACUUAAACCCAAAAUUGACCCGAACCAUAAUGACUCUCUAUUUAUAGCAAUAAUAGAAAGACAAAAUAGUAAAUAUGCAAGGGCAAAAGAGUAAAAACCGUAGGGUUACCAUUUCCACGCAACAGUAAAAGAUAUAUUCUGUUGCCAAAUUUUUCGCAACCGUCAAAAAUCAAAAAAUGUUUUAAAGAAAUUAUUUUCUGGAAAAUAAUAUUGAUUAAAAUUAGAGAUAAAUUAUGGAUGAAAAUAUUGAAUUAUUUCAAAUGAUGAAGAGCAACUUUAAUAAUGUAGAGGGACUGGAUCUUGUGUACCUAGGAUGAUACUUCGAAGGCUAUUCUCAGAAGAGUCGAUCUGUAGCUCAAGUGGUACCAUAUAUCUCAACAAUUGACCUAUAUUCAAUAGGUUAAGGGUUCGAAUCUCAUCAAAUGUCGCCUCUUAGUAGUGAUUGUAAGUCCACAUACGGUCAAUGCACCCCUUUUUGUGAGUUGUACAUGGCUCUCCAAUGAUUGGGAAACAAAACCCUUUCACAGGUGACAAUACCUUCUGUUGUUGAGAGACUGGAUCGGCAUCCCCAAAGACGACACUUCAAAGACUUCUCUCGAAUAAGCCGUUCCCAUUAACAAAUAAAUAAUUAUUCUACACAACCCUAUUCUAUCUUUUAAAUUUAUUAUUUUGUCCCUUAAGAUAUCCAUUAAUCUUUUUAUGUAUUUCUAAUAUACAUCCUAUAUAUAUAUAGUAAAAUGAUAUAUAUAUAUAUAAUCUACACUAAAUAUGAGAAGAUUAUAAAUAUAAUAAUCUAUAAUUUUUAUUUAUAUAUGCCUUUUUCCAACUACGGCGUUCUGAUUAUUUUUUUUAAAUUCUUUUUCAUUUUUUGACCAGUCCUAUUUUAUGAAAAUUCAGAUGUGUAUAUGAAAAUAUAAUUUCAUAUAUUAUUUAUCAUUCACAUUCAAAUCCAAUUAACAUAAACUUGAAGAUUCAUUUCUAACUCAUUAGUUAUUAUUUGUAAUUUCCUCUUCAUUUUCUUUCCCAUUUUCGAUUGUGUAACACGCAUGAAUCUGGAUGAAAAAAAUACAAUAGUUUAGUUGAAAUGACAAAGUUAAGACUUUGCAGAUAUGAGUAUCUUAAUAAUUUAUUUUGGAUUUAAACUAUCUUUUUUAUAGAUUUUAUAUAAACACAUAAAUAAAAAGACAAAAAGCAAACUCAUAAUAUUAUUUGUACCUUUUAAAUAGAAACCACUUUUUUUGAAGUUAUUUUUUAACUAAAUUGAUAUUUAGUUAAACUCGUGACUCCAACUCAAUUAGAUAAUUAAAUAUAGUAUAAAUAACAAAAAAUAGAAUUGAAAUUGACAUACACAUAUGUUGUGUGUAGCCUUAAAUACUCCUCUUUCAUGGUGUUCACCUCAAUUCAGGGGCGGAGCUAAAAAUAUUUUUUAGAGGCUGAAAUAAAGUUGUAUAUUUUUAUGAUGCAAAAAUGAAAUUUUCUUAUUUUAAUAACUUAUAUCUUUAUAAUUUUUAAAGAAUCAUAUCAUUUUUUUCUCAUUCUUGAGGGGGUCAAAGUGUAAUUUUACCACAUACUAAUUUUAAAAAAUAAAUUAUAAAAGGACUAAAGGUGAAAAUUUUCAAUUUAGGGGGAUCGAGGCCCCUGCCAACCCCGUUGGCUCCACCCCUGCCUCAAUUCCUUGCAACUUCUGCUUAUUUAACAAAAAAAAUAGAAAUGUAAUUAUUAUUGUCGACUGAGUCUUAACUCAGUUGGCAUCAACAAUUUAAAAAAAAAAAUUUGGAACAUGCUUUUUCAUUUAAAAUAUGAAAAUUAAAAUAUAAGAAAAAAAACUCACUCACCUCAUUAUCAUAGAAAAGUCUUCACUCACCUUUCAGCUUUUUUUUUUUUAUUAAAAAAACCUCUCAUCCUUCGACUUCUUUUUUCUUCUUAAUUUUGAAUUUAUUGAAUGAUAAAUUUUUACUUGUAGAGUUUAUUAAUCAACAUUUUAUAUAAAUGAAUAUUUUUAUAUUUGAAAUUUAUUUAUAUAAAUAUAUUAAAUAUUUUAAAAAAUAUCGAUAAAUUCGAAAUUGUACAUGAAAUAAACUAGUACUAAUAUGUACCGAUUUUCAUAGAAAAGUAGUGCAUCCACCAAUGUGGUAAUGGCUACCUUGAAAGGAACUAUGUGGCAUACUUGUUUGCAAAUAAAUGGGUUAAACCAUGUUGAGUUAGUAUUGUGGGUAGCUAUAAUGUUUGAUGUUUUGUUUUCUAUGAAUAUUUUGUUUUGAUGAUUUUGAUUUGUGCUGAUAUUUGAGUGCAACCAUUGGGAUAUAUAUGGCUACCUGAAUUUUUAUGAGUUGCUAUACAUUAAUUUACUGUGGUUGUUUUAUUAAUAAAUUUAUGUUUUGGAUUAAGAAAAAAAAUUAAGAAAUUCAAACACAAAAAAGAAAGUAGGGAAAGUGAACACAAUGAUAUACGUGGUUCAGGAAUAAUCCCUACAUCCAUGGGCAGAACCAAAAAUGAAAUUCACUAUUAAGAAAUGGAGAUUACAAUGGAAUUACAUCAUAAAAUAAAAUACCUCGCCAAUAAUUAUCCACAAACUUGGAGCAAUUUUCUAAAUGAACAUCAGCUAUACACUUUCCGCGUUUUGAGAAAUACAUGGCAAUAAUAAAUAACAAGUGACCAACAAUCUCAAAAUGUCGAAAACAAUACUUUAUUUAAAGCAUCCUAGUCUCUUAUCAAUCAUCAAUGGAGACCUAAGACAGAUUCAAGAUUUGUGUAGAUAGAAAUAGUUGAUACUAAAAGCAUUAGAAACCAAACUUACAAUGUUGUGCCGUUGUUGUGCCCAUAAGCUGGUAUUGCCCUCUUUGGAUGCCCACCAUUCAAGGGUUUAUCACCCAAAGGUACGUACACCUCCCCAGUGGUACCAUUUGGCCUUUUAUCUGCCACCAAUUUCAUGGUUCCAAAAGCUGAAUGAAAGUACAAGGCUAAAUAAAUAGCAUAUUUGGCUCCACAACUACAACUUUGUACCAUGCACCAAAAUAUGAUCCAACACAAGAAAGGAAUGUCAGAAGAACAAAUUCUCCAUAUAACCUAUACUUACCCUAUCAUAAACAUUGAUAACAUCACAGUUGAAGCCUUUCAAAGCAGGGGAAAUUCAUAUAAAGAUUGGUAGAAAAUAUGCCAAUCUACCGGACCGGAAAGCUGAAAAGCAACAUUAAAAGAGAGCUGCAAUGAAACUAGUUCCAAACUGCUGCAGUAUAUAUAUCAUUUGAUUCAUUUAACUCAUACCUCAAAGUCAAAAGCAAGAGAGUCGAUAUAUAGCGAGUCACUUAGUCGCUGCUAUUUUUGGGAACACUGAGGCUGGAAGUGAAAACCCCAAAUUGCACCUCAGUGAACUCUGUUGUGUUUAUGUUAAAUUGAGCUCUCUAAUGCCAUGUUGUAACGUGUACUGUAUCCCUUCAUUCAUCCUGCAACGAUCAAUACCAUGUUUACAGUGAUGACGAAAUCUGUUGGCACUGAUAUCCUUAUGCAAUAACAGAAAUCUAUCCACAAAGAUCAACAAACUAUCACGCAAAAGACUUGUUCUUCUGAAACACCAUUGGUUAAUAGUACAACGAAAUCUCAGAUACUUUUAACUAAAAUCCCAUUCCCAUAUACCAAUUUCAUAGCAACUGCUUAGAAAUUAGAAGAUGCAGAUGAAAACAGAACAUUCAAUUUGCUGAAUAAAUGUUGCAGAGAAUUGACUAACCGCUUUACUAAACCAAAUAAGCUGAAGCAAACCAGUUGAAGGUCUCCUCUAUUUUUCGCCAGUUUAGCCUUCAAUGCCUGCAAAAAGUAAAUACAAAAUAUAUAACACCAAUUUCUAUUAUCGUGUUGUUCAUGAGGACAAUCAGAUAUAUAUAAAGAAAAGGUAUGAAAUUGAUAAAUGUUUAAAAUGCGUUUCACACCUGUGGUUUGAGUGUGGAGAAAUCGAUGCCAGAUUUUGCUGCUUAAAUUUCAAUUUAAUUCCCUCGGGAUGACUGUUUCCAUAUCAAUUAGAACACAAGGUAUGUGGGCAAUCUUGGACCACUCUCGUCCUUUACCCCUACUGCACCCUUCUUCUAGCAACGGGCAACGCUGAAUACAUAGAUGCUCAAGCGAGAGAAGCAUAUCUUUUUCCGGAAGAGAUGUGAGCUUAGGACAAUCAUAGAUUCGCAAUUUUUGAAGAGAGGUCAGGUAUUGAAAGCCCUUGGAGCACAUGAAUUCCAAAUUCUCUGUAUUUAUAUUCAGAUAUAUAUAGUGGGUAAUUAAGCAUUUUAUUGACAUACAAUAACCUUUUAUGUUAAAUGUUCGAAUCUGGACUUGAGCUAAGAAUAAGUGUCGAAUAUCGAUAUAUAUUAAUAUAGAUGUGAUGAAUUUUUUAAAAUCGAGAAACAUUCCUCUUAUAUAAAUAUUCAAAUUUGUGUCAAACACGCAUAUAAAACAUAAUUACUUUAGAAAAAAAUGGAUUAAUAUAGGGAUAUAAAAUGUACCUGUAAUCGAGAUCUUUUAAGCUGCUCCAUUAGAAUUUGCUCCUACAACAAUAAAACUUCAGUUUCUAGUGCUCACAAUUAGGCUCCUAAUGAGAUUAUUUUAAGUUUGUGUUUGUAGGAGAGUUACUAAACAUACUAAAUUUAUGUUUGUUUGGAGUUAAUAUUGAUUAAAAUUAGAGAUAAUUUAUGGAUGAAAAUAUUAAUUUAUUUCAAAUGAUGAAGCAUAGCAACUUUAAUAAUGUUGAGGGAUUCGACCGGCGCAUUCAAGGAUGAUACUUCGAAGAUUUCCCUCAAAGGAACUGAUCUGUAGCCAAGUGGUACCAUAUACCCCAAUAAUUGACCUAUAUUCAAUAAGUUAGGGGUUCGAAUCUCACCAAGGGCGAGACGCUCAAGUCGCCUAUUGGUGGGUGGUUGUACGUUCAUAUACGGUCAAGGCGUCCCUCUUUGUGAACCGUACAUGGCUCUCCGUAAAGUGGGGGACAAAACCCUCUCCUAAGGGACAAUACUUUUCAUUGUUGAGAGACUGGAUCGAUAUCCCCAAAACCGAUUUUUUGAAAACUUCUCUUGGAGAAGCCAAUCCCCCUCAACAAAUAAAUUACACUACACAACCCUAUUUCGUCUUUUAAAAUUAUUAUUUUGUCCCUUGGGAUAUAUCCAUUAAUAUUUUCUGUAUUUCUAAUAUACAUGCUAGAUAUAUAUACUAAAAUGAUAUAUUUAUAUAAUAUGAGAAGCUUAUAUAUAUAAAUAUAAUUUGUAGUAAUAUUAAUGCCAGUACCUUUUGUUGCUCAACUGAUGCCAUCCCUUCGUUUAAUUGAUUCUCCAGCUGUUUUAAUUCUUUGAAACUCAAAUCAUCUAGUUCCUUUCCAAUUAAGCCUCCUGCAAAUCACACCUCAAAUUUUACCUAAUCAAAUACUUAUUUAUUUAUUUAUUUUUUUACGUAUUAACAACUAUCACUCGUAUUUAUACAUAUUCAGAUAUAUGUAUGAAGAUGUAAUUUCACAUUUUAUUUACCAUUCACAUUCAAAUCCAAAUAACAUAGACUUGAAGAUUUAUUUCUCACUCAUUAGUUAUUAUUUGUAAUUUCUUUUAUUUUCCUUACCAUUUUUUUUAAUUGUGAACGCUUAGUUGAAAUGACAAAAUUAAGGUUUUGAAGAUACGGGUAUCCUAAUGAUUUAUUUUGAAUUUAAACUAUUUUUUUUAUAGAUUUUAUAUAAAUACAUAAAUGAAAAACAAAAAGCAAACUCAUAAUAUUAUUUGUUAUCUUUUAAAUAAAAACCCUUUUUUAAAGUUAUUUUUCAACUAAAUUGAUCUUUAGUUAAACUCGUGGCUUCAACUUAGUUAGAUAACUAUAUAUAGUAUAAUUAACAAACAAUAAAAUUGAAAUUCACAUACAUGUAUGCUGUGUGUAGCCUUAAAUACUCAUGUUUCAUGGUGUUCACUUCAAUUCCUUGCAACUUCUGUUUUUUUAACAAAAAAAAACGCACACACAAUAUUAGAAAUAUAAUUAUUAUUUUCGAUCGAGUCUUAAUUCAAUUGGCAUUGAUAUUACUAUCUAUGCAAAGAGGACACUAAUUAAUAUAUAUACACACCUCAACUUGUUGCACAUCAAAAGGGUGUUCUUGAGAAUGAUCUUCUUCCAUUUCUUUGUUGUAUCUCGAAAGAGUAUGUUCCAUGCUACAUUCAUAAAAUGUCAUGUUUAAAAAAAUAACAAUAAAUUAAAAAUAAAAUUCUAACUCAUUAUUAGGGUUUAGGUUUUGGGCUUGAGUCGAUCAAAUUUAUGACAAGUUAUUCUUAGCUUAUCGUAACUAUUUAUGUAUCAAUUUUUGUUUUAAUACGAGUAUGUGUUGUUCUGUUUUAGUAUAUAGUUUCGUAAGUAUCAUUUUUAAAUAUUUCUUAAUUAUAAUAUGUAAAUAUAAAUUUUAAAAUUAUUAAUUAAGUUCAAUAAUUUAAUAAAUGGUUAUAUAUUAUUUUUUAAAGCAAUUAUAUAAAAAAGUAGUUAAGAAAGAAAAGGGAAAUAUUAAAAACUCCUUUAUAGGAAUUAAUACUCACCGAUACAAGCAUAUAUUAAUUGAAAUGAAUCAAAACUCAAUGAAAUUUUAAUUGAAGUGAAACUUAAAUCAUUUUAUUCUAGUUUAAUAUCGAGAUGAUUCGUAACGAUUGAUACAACCAGUAUCGAAACUACUGACUACCAUGCUACAAAGCGAAAAGAAAAAUAAUGAAAACCAAUCAAAUUACAACUCAACUUACUUUCAUGCUUUAAAAAAAACAGUUCUAAAAAUAAUCAUCCAAGAAAAUAAAUAUAUAUAAGUUUUAUAGACCGUUACAAACUAAUAUACACUCAUAUAAGUCGAUAUUAACUGAAACAAAUCAAAACACAAUAAAAUUUUAACUGAAACGAAACUUAAACUACUUUAUAUUAAUUCAAUAUUGAGACGAUAGCCAAUUAUUAAGAAAAGAAAAAUAAUGGAAAUCAAUCAAAUUAUAGGUCAACUUACUUUCAUGCUUAAAAAAAAAUGCUAAAAUUAAAAAUUGAAAAAAACCCAGAUUUCGAUUAUUAAAAAUAAUCUAUAAUAUAUAUAUAUAUAAGUAUUAUACUAUAUGAUAUACCUAGUGCUGGACCAUUGAUAGACCUUGCCGGUGCUUGAAAAAAUAAUAACCCCAACCUCUGCGUCACAUAAAAUGGACAAUUCUUUAGCUUUCUUCAACAACCCAUUUCGCCUCUUUGAAAACGUUACUUGCCUGCUAUUCAAAUUUUCAAUCUUUUUUAUUUCAAUUUUCCCUCUACCCAUCUCAAAAUUUUCUUCUUUCCUUUACUUUUUCCCGGAAAAUUUUUAAAAGAAAAGUUAAACCCCAGAUUUUUUUUCCUUAAAUUUUGAAAAAAAACCAAAGGUUUUUAUAACAACAAACAGAUCAAAGAAAAGAAGGCAAAAAAUUUAGGGGAUUGUAAAAGGAUUCUUUUUUUAAGAGAAAAGAAAAUAAGUAAGUAAUGUUUAUAUAUAACAGUUGUUUUCUUAAAUGGAAAUGGAAAAUGAUAUGGAAAAAGAAAAUAUGUGACCAAAAUUAGGGUGAAAUCUUGAAAGGUGACAGAUUUGAUACUAUAUCUACCAAUUAUCCAACUAUGGAAACUCUAUUUAUUAUACCUUUAGUUUUUUUUUUCUAUUUUUCUUAAUUUCUCUACCUUUUUACUCUCCUGUUUUUGGUAUUUCAACUCAAAAUGGAUUUUAUUUUUGCUUUGGGUUUCUUUUUUCAAAUAUAAAAAGUGGUUUUUAAUUAUUUAUAUAUUAUUAAUGUGUUUUAACAAUUUUUGUUAGUGAAUAUUGAUUUUUUUUUUGUGAAUUACAAUAGGAGGGCAAAGCCCUAAUAACAACACGACUAGAGCGAUUCGAAUUUAGGCCACACCUGAGACGUUGAACACAAGUAUUUCACGAGGACAUAUAACACAUGUUUUUUUUUUUAAAUUCAUGGCUAAAAUAAUAAAAAAAACCUCUUUAUUUUAUUGUAUUCAAAUAAUAAUAAAAAACCACAGUUUUAGUCGUACCGGCCGGUGCCGCCGUUCUACUGUUAUAGUGCAACAAGCAACACCCUUUUCCAUACUAAUGAAAAUUUUGGUUUGUACCGUUCGCAUUGGCCGGAACAUGGUACACCUGCUGCUGCAUAAAUAAUGUUAAAAAAUAUAAAACUUUUAACUAUUUUCUAUUAGACUAAAUAUUUAAUUGAAAUUGACCAAUAAAAAAAUUAUUGCACUAGAAAGUGAAGUUUAACAUUUAAAAUUUUUUUUGGAGCAUACUUUUUCAUUUAAGAUAUAAAAAUUAAAAUAUAAUAAAAAAACCCACUCACCUCGUUAUCAUAGAAAAAUCUUCACUCGCCCUUCAGUUUUUUUAUUGAAAAAACCCCCUCAUCCUUUGAUUUCUUUUUUUCUACUUAAUUUUAAAUUUAUUGAAUAAUGAGUUUUUACUUGUGGAGUUUAUUAAUCAAUAUUUUAUAUAAUUGAUGAAUAGUUUUAUAUUAAAAAUUCAUUUAUAAUAAUUUAUUUGAUAUUUGUAUAUUUAUUUAUAUAAAUAUAUUAAAUAUUUUUAAAAAAUAUCGAUAAAUUCAAACUGAUACAUAAAAUAGACUAAUACCAAUACAUACCGGUUCUCAUAGAAAAGUGGUACUUAUACCAAUGUGGUAAUGACUACCUUGAAAGCAAGUAUGUGGGUGGCUAUAAUGUUUGAUGCUUUGUUUUCUUUGAAUAUUUUGCUUUGAUGCUUUUGAUCUGUGCUGAUCUUUGAGUGUUACCAUUGGGAUAUAUAUGGCUAUCUAAAUUUUUAUGAUUUGCUAUGCAUUGAUUGUGGUUGUUUUAUUAAUAAAUUUAUAUUUUGGAUUGAGAAAAAAAAGAAAAAGGGAUUCGAAACACAAAAAAAAAAGUAGAGAAAGUGAACACAAUAAUAUACGUGGUUAGGGAAUAUUCCCUACAUCCACGGGCAGAACUGAAAAUGAAAUUCACUACUAAAAAUUGGAGAUUACAAUGGAAUUACAUCAUAAAAAUAAAAUACCUUGCCACUAACUAUCUACAAACUUUGAAUGGAUUCAUGGUCUGAGAAAUUCUGAAAACUAAGAAGGACAUCUUUGAGAUUCGACAGAACAAUAUUUUGGGAACUUUGUUGUCUUACAUGUGUUAAAUUGAGCUCUCUAAUGCCAUGUUGUAACGUGUACUGUAUCCCUCCAUUCAUCCUGCAAGGAUCAAUAUCAUGUCUUCAGUGAUGACAAAAUCUGUUGGCACUGAUAUCCUUAUGCAAUAACAGAAAUCUAUCCACAAAGAUCAACAAACUAUCACGUAAAAGACUUUUUCUUCUGAAACACCAUUGGUUAAUAGUAUAAUGAAAUCUCAAAUACUUUUAACUAAAAUCCCAUUCCCAUAUACCAGUUUCAUAGCAGCUGCUUAGAAACUAGAAGAUGCAGAUGAAAACAGAACAUUCAAUUUGCUGAAUAAAUGUUGCAGAGAAUUGACUAACCGACUUUACUAAAUCAAAUAAGCUGAAGCAAACCAGUUGAAGGUCUCCUCUAUUUUUCGCCAGUUUAGCCUUCAAUGCCUGCAAAAAGUAAAUACAAAAUAUAUAACACUGAUUUCUAUUAUCAUGUUGUUCAUGAGGACAGUCAGAUAUAUAUAAAGUCAUGAGGACAAUCAGAUAUAUAUAAAGAAAAGGUAUGAAAUUGAUAAAUGUUUAAAAUGCGCUUCACACCUGUGGUUUGAGUGUGGAGAAAUCGAUGCCAGAUUUUGCUACUUCAAUUAAAUUUAAUGCCCUCGGAGAGAUGACUUUGCAUAUCAAUUCGAACAUAAGGUAUGUGGGCAAUCUUAAACCACUCUCGUCCUUUACCCCUACUGCACCCUUCUUGUACCAACGGGCAACGCUGUAUACAUAAAUACUCAAGCGAGAGAAGCAUAUCUUUUUCCGGAAGAGAUGUGAGCUUAGGACAUUGAUAGAUUCGCAAUUUUUGAAGAGAGGUCAGGUAUUGAAAGCCCUUGGAGCACAUGAAUUCCAAAUUCUCAAAAUUUUCAAUGGAAAUAAAUGUGAGAGAAGGAGGCAGCGUCAUUCCUAUCCCUUCUUCUGGAAACGACACCACAUUUGAGCAUCCUUCACCGCUGAUGUUGAGUCGCUGAAGAGAGGUAAGUCUGUUAAAUCCCCAUUGAACAAGUGAUGUAUAAAUUUUGGGUGCGUUUGAGAUUGCAAGUGAUGUGAGGUUGGCAGGGAAACCCUCUUCUGGAAAGGAUAUGUCAGCCGAACAAUAAGACACCUUCAAUUCUCGAAGGGAGGUGAAGUUGUUGAUGCACUUGGGAAGGACUCCAAAAUUUUCACAAUUCUCAAUUGCGAAAACUCUGAGAUUUGUGGUGGGCAACCCACUUUCUUCAAAUGAAACCAGAUUUGGACACCUAGAUAAUUUAAUCUCCUGAAGAUGGCUGAGCUUGUCUAAUCCCCGCGGUAAUGAUUUAAUUUUUUCAGCACCACGAAUGCCAAUGCUUUCGAGAUCAAUGGUUUCAAAGAAGUCUUGGGCUAUGCAUUCCAACACUGGACAAUCCCAAAUAAAUAGCUGUUUAAGCAUUACGGGUAACUUGGCGUUUAAAAAUAACCUAGUUAGCUUUUAACAACUUUCAAUUUCGAGAUGUUGAAGUCGAUUGCAUAUAUCGCCCCUUGAUAAUAACCAUAUUAGAGAUGGACAGCUUCUUAUUACUAAGUGCUCAAGAAGACAAGUGUUGCUACUCAUACUCUUAUUAUUAUUUUCUUUUUCAUCAACCAAAUAUUGCAAAUUCACGCAAUUCCCAAUCCUCAGCUCUUUUAAUGCAGGAGGAAAGUUACUCUCUGCAAAACAAACCAAGCCGGGACACGCUGCAAGUGUUAUUCUUGUAAUGAAUGGGAAAGCAUGUAAGGCUUCUGGUAGUCUAUUGAGCCUUCCACAAUUAUCUAUUGCCAGAGAUUCAACACCUGGAAUCUUGUCAAGUUGCAAUCUCUCCUCCUCUGUUUCCAAAGAGACCAAUUGGGGACAAUCCGCAAUACUAAUAAAACGAUGCCCGACUAAUCUUAACCCAAUUUGCGAUAAAGAUCCCAACUCCUUCCAACCAGAGACGUUGAAUCUUUCGGAGUUUGCAAACCUCAACAUUAUCCUCUCUGCUGAAAUGUUAAAAUUUGAAAUAUUUGAAACACACAAACUUUUAAAGGAGGUAACCUUCUGUACGGACAAAGAACCUUCAUCCACCAAUUCUUCACACCCUUCAACCCAUAUUUUACGCAGCAAGGGAAAACAAGAAAUUGAAACUACCAGUCUCUUACAGUUGUAGAUUUCAAGCGUCUGCAAGGAUUGAAGGAUGGUUGGCAACCUUCCCAGCAAUAGAGGACAUUUUCUGAUUGAAAGAAAACGAAGGCUGGGGAAUUUCGAUACUUGCUCAUCAUCUUCACAUAGGUCCCACUCCUCCCAAUUCAGCAUAUUGCCAAAACGCAGAGACUCUAAUGAUGCAAAAGUAUUUGAUUGAUUUUCUCCAAACAUCUCAGCACCAAUCUUGUGUACUUGAUCCAAACCACUAAUUGAAAGAUCUUUUAACAACAACAACCUUCCAAUCGAUGGUAGAGAUUUGCAAUUUUUACAGUCGUGAAGCUCCAAUGACAACAUAUUUUUGAAGGAAGGAUCUGCAAUCCAAGUAGAGAAUUUUGCACCACCAUAAUUCUCAAUGACGAGUUGCUCAAGCUUUUUUGGAGGACAAAGAGAGUCCAACACCCAUUCUUCAACUUCUUUAUUCCUUGAAGCAUUUUCAAACUUUUUCCUCCAAUGCAAUACCAGUCGAUCAAUCCCCUGCUUCUCAUAUAACUUGCUUUCCCCUGCAUCUUCACCAUUAACAUUCUCCAACCCAGAAAGACGGAAAUCACCUUCGAGGUUUGACAAAUAUUUCAAACCUCUAAUAUAACUACCAUCACCUUCCCCUAUUAUAAAAUCAGUUAAACUUUGAAGAUUCGUUAGCUUAUCAAUUCUAAAAGGAAUCCUUUCUAUUGAGUUCGCACCUCUGAUAUCAAGAUAAUGCAAGUUGACAAGAUUUCCCAUCUUUGAAGGUAACAUUUGAAGCUUGUAACACCACCUUAAUAAUAAGGUUUCUAAAUGGUAAAGAGUGCACAAAGAAUCUGGUAGGCAUUUGAUUUUUGUGCUCGAAAAAUUUAAGUAGCGAAGAUGUUUUAAAUUUUCAAAAACAUCAGGCAACUCAGUGAUUAUAUACCCACUCAAAGAAAGCAUCCUUAGGUAGCCAAGUCUUGGUAACAAAUCAUCCAAAACAACAUUAGUUAAAAAAGGGGCCCGAUAAUCACACAUUAAGGGUAAAAAAGUACGUAGAGAAUUCACUUGAUCAAAUGCUUCAAACUUCUUCACUGUGUCAUAUGUUCCAACAAUAUAAGAAGAAUGUCGAGUGCGAUUUGAGAACUUCCAUUUCUUAUCACCCUCUAAUUUUGAGCAUAUUUCCCCUGCAACUACUUGAGCUAAAUCAUUGAUAAGGUCAUGCAUUACGAAUCGGGACUUAUCUUUACUGGAUGUUUGAAAGAAUCGGGACUUAUAUUUACUGGAUGUCUGAAAAAAUGACCUGGACACUAGAUCUUGAAAAUAUUGAUUUCCGAGAUCUUUAAUUUGAGGCAUAGCUUUUUGUUGCAAGAGACCUUCUGCUCUCCAUAACAAGAUAAUUUCUUCUUCCCCAAAUUCAUAGUCUUUAGGAAGUAUGGAGCAAUAUGCAAAACAUCGUUUCAAGUAUGACGGAAGAUGAUGGUAGCUUAACCGCAAAGCUGGAAUUAUGCCACACUGCUCUUCUGGUAAGUUCCAUAUCUCACUCUCAUAUAGUCUUUCCCAUUUUCCAUGAUAUUUAACCGUGCGAAGCAAGCUUCCAAUGACUUUUGCAGCCAAAGGUAAGCCAUUGCACCUUCUAACAAUUUUCUUUCCAAUUUCUUUAAACUGGAGAUGUCCAUCGAAAUUUCUUGCUUUUAAUGCAUGCUGUGUAAAUAUGGAUAAACAAUCAUCAUCCG
rnacentral:lncRNA from 1 species